UUCGUUUUCUUAUAAUUUUUAAUUAUCAAACAAAACUAUUAAAAAGAUGCUUGUUCAUUGUAGCUUGCCACUCCUGAUGUUCUAAUUAAUCUGAAGGGGUUUAGAGGACAAGGAUCAAAGUACUUAAUUUAGGAUAUGAAUCUAAGUAUAUUGACUCUUUAAUUUUGUUAAAAAUAUUUAAAAAAUGAUUUGACUCUUCAAACAGUAACAUUUUAGCAUAAAAUGAAACGGAGAUAACUACCCUUGUCCAGAGACGUGGUAGAGCUCUGAGACAACGCCCUAGCUGCAACCUUUGAGGUUAUUGCAAGAAAAAUAGCCAAAACAAUAAACAUAAAUGACUUUAAUCCCAUUUUUUUCCCUUUUCAAACUAUAUAUACUUUAAAUAACGACUAAUUGAGUUGUGAUAGGCAACUAAUGAACAUUUUUCCUCUAUUUAUAGCAUAAUCAUAGAGUUCUUGUAGGGGACAAGAUUAAAGAUUGCAUUAAUUAAGUACCGGAAUUGUAAUUUAUUAAGUUGGCAAGAUUGUUUAGACUCGAUUUUUCUAUAAAGCACCUAGCUAUAAAAAGAUUUCUCCUAAAUAACUACUAUAUAUGUAGCAAUUACCAACAUUUUUCAUUUAGGUAUGCCAAAGAAUAGAGAUACAGGUGGAAAAAUUAAUUCUGCAAAAUAUAACUUGCCUAAUUCUUCAACUUUUCGUGAGUUAAUUGAACCGUCAAAUUUAGGUCAGUCAUUUAAGCCCAAUUCAUUUUAGUUCAUAAAAAUUUGAUUAAAAAAUAGAAUUGAUAUGUUCUACAAGUUGGUUGAAACAUGAUAUGUUAUAUAUAGACAUAAUAUAUAAUGAAAAAAAUAAUUUUGUUAGAUAACAGAAAAAUUAUAAAAAUAUAAAUAAAAUUAAUAAAACUUAGUAAAAAUUAAACAAGUUAGUGUUAGGACCGCGUGUAGCUCCCAAAAGGCCUCAUACUAGUUGAGUUGGGUGAGACUCUUAAAUAUUGGACAUGUAUCCUCUAUAUCUCCGAUGUGGGAUUGAUUUGCUUCCCAACAAUCCUCCUCUCAAACCAAACCACAUCACUUGUGACCUCCCCUUCACCGAUAAUCCAUUUGAUCCCGCUAACUAUCUUGUACCGCCAUUAUCAACCAAUGGACACGCCGAUUGACCACUACUUGUCAAGAAGACUUUCGACACAAGGUAUCGCUUGACCACUACUUGUCAAGAAGACUUUCGACACAAGGUAUCAACCGUAGAUCUCAGCUACUGGGUCACUUCACAUGAUCUUCCAAACAUCUUGUACCGCCGUUAUCACCAAACGGGACACGCCGCCUGACCACCACUUGCCAGGAAGACUUUUGACACAAGGCACCACCUGCAGAUCUCUUGUGUUGUUGUCACACUGAGAACUUCUUUCCAAACGCAGUCCACUACUCUGACACACCUGAAGCGAGCCCUCACGGAUUUGUUUUUGGGCAACUCGCAAAAGGCCUCAUAAUAGUUGAGUUGGGUGAGACUCUUAAAUAUUGAACAUGUAUCCUCUAUUUCUCCGAUGUGGGAUUGAUUUGCUUCUCAACAGUUAGGCUAUGACAGACAUUAGUUAGCCUAAUGUACUUCAACUCAAAUAAUUGUUGAGUGGAUCAUAUCAUUCAUUAUAUUGCAAUCCACUGAAUUUAAUUCAAUCUCACCUAUUUGACACCUCUAUAAUUAUUAGGUAUUGAGGAGUCUGUGCUAUUUUAUUUUUUUAUCUCAAUUUAUGUGACACAAAUAGAAAUUAGAUAAUCAAUCAUAUUUUUAAUAUGUUAUUAAAUAUUUUAAGUUGUUGGCUAUUGUGAUUUAUAAUACUUUUUAUACAAUUUUUAAAUAAUAUAUGUUACUCGAGAAGAUUUGCAAAAAAGGACACUUUGAAAACUUAUUUGAUAAAAUAGACACUUAUUUCUUUUUGAAUUAAUUUUUUAGGGUUUGAAAAGAGAAAAUAGAAAAGUUGGGGGUAUGGGCUAAUUUGAAAAGUCCCAAAAGUUAUUGCCACCCCUUAAGUCCUUUUUAAAUACUUUUCACCCCCAUUUUUUUUUAAAUACUUAUAUGAAUUUUCUCUCUCCUCACUCUCACUCACAAAACCACUGACAUUCCCCCUUCCCCUUCCCCCAACCUCUAUUUUCGAUUUCUAUCUUCUCUAAAACUCUAAGAUCUUUCAUCUUUCACUUUAAGUAAUUUCUCUUCAUCUCCCGAGUAAUUUGUGCUCCAUAUUGAUGAUUUUUUUUUUCUUUUUCAGUUUUGAUCUGUGGUGAUUGAGUUGAUUUUGGAGGAAAAAAAUUAAUUUUUUUUAAAAAAACGGGGAUUAAUUUUACUGAAAAUCUUUGUUUUUAAGUUGUUAUUUGUUUGAUUGUUAAUGGAUAUUUGAUGGAUUAUGAUUGUCCAUGCCGAUUGCAUGGUUAAAUUUUUUCGCGAAUUUGAUUGGCUAAUGUGCCAAGAAAUUCGAGUUUUCUUCAAAUUCUUCUUUAAUGUAAUGGUAUUUUAGAUGCAUGUUCUUGUGGGGGAUGAUUUCAUCAUACAUUUUUGUUAUUCUGUUAAUAAACAUUUCGGUUGAUUAGGUAUUUGUUUGAUUUGGAUAAACAAAUUUUUUUUUUUUUGAAAAAUGGGGCUUCAUUUUACUGAAAAUCGUUGUUUUUAAGUUGAUAUUUGUUUGAUUGUUGAUGGAUUAUGGUUAUCCUUGCCGAUGAUAUGGUUCAUUUUUUUUCAAAUUUCAUCGGUUAGUGUGUCAAAAAUUUGGACACGGAGGACAAGUUCAUUUAUGAUCCUAGACUUAAUAGACUGUAGUCGUCUUCUUCUUACCUAAUUUUCGUACAGUACUUGAUAUCGCUUUUUCGACAACCAACGAAAUAAUGCAACGAAUUAAAGCUAUGAAACAAGAUAAGGAGUGUUCCAAAUGAGUAAGGGAGACAUUGUUAAUGUCUAAUCAAAAUGUGAAAGGGAUGAAUAAAUGAACAUGGAGGAGCUCAUAAGUGUCCCUUUCAUUUAUAUAGUAGGGCUACCAAAAAAGUGAUCGUUGGAAAAGGUCUAAAGAAUGUUUAUAUCUUCUAUAAUCGAUUAUUAAGAGACCUGAAAGAGUUAUAACUUCAAACAAGGUACAGUUGGAGCUUCUUAAAAUUCACGAUGUAAGAAAUGAUUGAAGAAAUACUAGACUAUGCAAAUUAUUUAUUAUAUACUGAUCGGUGUUGAUUUCUACACAUGAUAGAUAGAUUAUUAAUUUUUUGAGAAGUCAACUAUUGUCCAAUUCAUAGGUCUAUAAUCAACUAUCUGAAUAUAUGGACAAGUUAAAAUAAUGACAAAAAAGAUAAAUUAAAUUAAAUAAAAUUAAAGUAUGACAAAAAACACCUUUCAAACAUUGUAAAGCAAUUUAGAUACAUCAAUUGUGAUACUAAAUUACUUUUGAACAUGAUCAAGUAAAAUUUAUGACAUGCUAGAAUUGUAAAUCAGUGAGAUGAGACUAAAAAGGAGAGAAAUAAAAUAAAAUAAAUAAGCACCAUUCAAGCAAUCCAAAACAAAUUGAUAUCCUCAAAUGAGAUUAAAAUUGUCUAAUGAGUAUAAAAAAAAGCGAUGGUUGUGACUUGUGGGUGUUCAUGGGACAAGUAGUGUUUGAGAACAAGUAGUCCUUCUCAAUGAAGACAUUUGUUUUGAGUAAUUGAUUGUUACUACCAUUGCUUUUUAUUCUACUCAUUUGAUCUAGUGUUUAAUUAUUUUGUACUCUCAUAUGAUGAUAUUUAGUCACUUUACAUUGCUUGAAUGAUGUUUAUUUUAUUUUAUUUCUCCCAUUUUUAGUCUCGUCUUACUUUUCACUAGACUCAAUUGAUCAAUACAUGACUACUAAUUUAGUCUGGUAUAGAUGAAUACAUUUAUCCAUAAUAUAUGCACGAUAUCUUCAUAGGUCUAGUAUCAUUCAUCUAAUUCUAUUGACAAGUAAGACGAGAAUAAAAAGGGUAGAAAUAAAAUAAAAUUUAUAAAUAUCAUAUAUGCAAUGAAAAGUGACUAAAUAUCAUCAUAUGAGAGUAUGAAAUAAUUGAACACUCGAUCAAAUGAGUAUAAGGAAGAGCAAUGAUAGUAACAACCAAUUACUCAGAACAAACGUCUGCAUUGAGAAGGACUACUUGUUCUCAAACACAACUUGUCACACCCUCUUUUUUCACCAAAAAGAUAAAUUUCAACUUCGAAAAGAAUUUUAUUAUUAAGUGACAAAAAAUGAAAAUUUGUUUCAAUAAGAAUUGUUUAUAUUCAAAACUCAGAGUCGCCACUUGACAUAAAUCUGGUGUGCCAAGUCACCUUUGAAAAAUUCUUUUUUUAAAAUGAUUUGACUCUUUAAACUGGUUUGCGAAUAGAGAUUCCGGUUAAGGAAUUCUGUUGACCGAGGGGAAGGUGUUAGGUAUGCCUCGGUCCCAUGGUUCGACCACGGUCGCUUCGUGGAGUAUAUCGGCUAGUACGACAUUAUGAAUGUAUAAACCACAUAAACACACAAUAAUUAAUCAAAAAAAUAAAAGCAAGUUCGUAAAAUAAUGUCCAGUCCAAUCAUUACAGUCCGAAAUAAAAAGGUUCUGAAAUGUAAACCUAUGCUAACCUACACUAAUCCUAAACUACGCUCCAAUUCUUUAUCCGAUGUCCCGGGCCUUCAUCACGAACGUUCUUCGAGAACAAGAUACUUCGGGACAUUCUCCAGUGAAUAAGUACAAUGUGAUCUCAGGGCAUUCCCCAGGGAAUAAAUACAUUUUGAUGAAAUGUAAUAAAAUUGGAGAAAUAACUCAACACAGACAUUCACACAUUCAAAGAUAUAGAAUCCUAUAAGUUUCCUACAACGAAACCUAAGAUUUGCCUAUCGAUUUUCACCUAAAACAUAAACUAUUGGGUCCAACAAUAUAAUCAAUGUUCAUUUCAAAUCAAUCAAUCGAUUCUAUUUACUUCAUAAAUUUUUGAUUCCCACCCCAAAUGUAUUAUCAAUCAUGCAAUUAUUUAAUUUUUGAGAUAGAGAUCAAGACCACGAUAAUCAAUAUAGCUCGAACGUGCUCACAACCACACCAAACAACCACAACACUAAAUAGAUUUGAGAUAAUAAAAAUAGUAAGGUUGAGGAAUGGACCUUCAAAGAACUAAUUUCGUCGAUAAUAAUAUUUAAGAAAACCUGAACUCAAAAUUCCGAAUAGAAAACCUCAACGGCGAAUUAGAAAUCAAACUCGGUAUUGAGAAAUUGAAACCCCAAACUGAUUACGAUGAAUUGAUCAAGACGAACAGAACCUAAAUCUCAAAAUCAAUAUGAAGACCGAUGAACCAAGAUUGAAAUCGCAACAGAACCAACUAAACCUGUAAUCAAAACUGUCUUAAAAUUGAUUCCAAACAGGAUCGAUUUUCAAUGAAUUUUCGUUGCUAGUUCAUGUUUUCCGGCUAGGUCUACCUAGAAAUCAAAGGAAACGAACAUACUAAAGGAUUUUUAAGACUGAAUCAAUCAAAUGACUAAUUGGAAACCACUUCUGGUGCAAAGUUUGCUGGAGGAGCUCGAGAAACAACCAGAUCUCUUGCUGGCUCACUAUUUCUAUCAAAUCUCUUUUGUUUUCAGUUUAUUUUCGAUCUUUUUCUCACUAUUUCGGCCUUCUUAGCUUCCUUCUCUCCAAAUUUUGUGUGUGUACGUGUAGCUCCGAUAGUUGUGUGUGUAUAUAUGAUUUUUUCGGUGAGUUUUGGAUGGGAUUUUUUAUGUGUAACUGUGUGUGUAUGCCUUCUCCCCCUAUUUGUGAUGGUGUGUGUUCUAAAAAAUGUGAGGGGAAGGGGGGAGCCUAAGGGUAUAGGAGUGUUUGGGGGUAGGGUGUGGGGUGGUGAUGUGUUUUUAAAAUUUGAUAGGGAGGGGUUGUUAAUUUGUUCAAAUUGGGAUUAUGUGGAAAUUAAGGGAUAAAACUUUUUUAGAGUUGGUUAUUAUUUUAUCAUUUUGUGGAAGAAUUAUGAAAUGGGGUUGGAGUGCGUGGUAAGACGGAGUAAAUAGUAAAAAUAAUUUUUGGAGGGACAAAAUUAUGUGUCUACACUAAUUGUCCCAUGAACACCCACAAGUCACAGCCAUCACUCUUCCUUAUGCUCAUUAGACACGUCUAAUCUCAUUUAAUGAUAUCUAGUUGUUUUGCAUUGCUUCGAUGGUGCUUAUUUAUUUUAUUUUAUUUCUCCCUCUUUUAGUCCCAUCUCACUGAUUUAUGUCUAUAGCAUGCCUUAAAUAUCACUUGAUCAUGUUCAAAAGUGAUUUUGUAUCACAAUUAAUGUAUCUAAAUUUCUUUAUAAUGUUUGAAAGAUGCUAAUUGUUGUACUUUAAUUACUCAUUUUUUGGUCAUUGUUUUAACUUGGUCCAUAUAUUCAAAUAGUUGAUCAUAAACCUACGAGUUGGGGAAUAAUCGACUUUACGAAAAAUUGAUAAUCUAUCUAUCAUGUAUAAAAAUCAACAGUGGCACCAGUAAAUAAUACAUAAUUCGCAUAAUCUAGUAUUUCUUCAGUCAUUUCUUACCUAAAAUUACAUAAACAUUCUUUAGUCCUUGUUUAAAAUUACAGGUCUUUUCACUACUAAGAAAAUCUGAAAAAUCGAUCACACAAAACCAACCACACAUUGUGGUCGGAAAAAACCGACCACUAGUGGUUGGUUUUUAAUUUUUUUUUUUAAUUUUUUUUUUUUCAAAAAGAGACCACAUGUGGUCGCUUUUAUAUUUAAAACAAUCAAAAUAAUCAUUUUAAUAAUUUUUAUAUUAAUUAUUAUUUAUUUUACAAAUAAAAAUUAAAAAAAAUCGACAAAACUGACCACUUGUGGUCGAAUUUUUCUAAAAAAUAUAAUUGAAAAAUAGUCUCUUUUGAAAUUUUAGUGGCUGUAGGUAAUGACCACUCUGUCCGCCUUCGUUGGUUGGGCUGCUCUCAAUUUGGUGAGUUUCAUCUAGUUGCAUUCCCAUUGUAUAUUGGUGGUAAUCUUGUUUUUCGCUUGAGCUGUGGCAUAUUUGAUGUAAAGGCAUAAUCGAAACGUGAAAUAUUUAUUUAUCCUGUUCUUAUAGAAACAGUUUGCACAUUCUAGUAGUUCUGAUAACAUAGCAUUAUGUCAGAUGACAAAAACAUUGCCGCUAUAUUAAUCUCAACUUGAACAGUCAUCUUGUUUUCUUACUGUCAACCAGUGAUAAUCGGUAUUCACCAAUUAGAAGGAACUUUUAAAAAAUUGUAUUAUAUCCAAGUCAUCUUAUGCAUCCAUUAUCUAUGUUAGUAUCUCAUAAUUCGAACAAAUAAAUAGAGGUUCUCGCCAUGCGUUAGAUGUGUAUGGACUGCAUUUUAGAGUUAAUCGGAUGAAUAUGUAUUCUGCUAAUUCAAGUUCACUAUCAUUAUAAUAUAGAAGCUCCGUUCAAUUUCAGUACCUUGGUUUCUGUACAAAGUACUUUGUAAUCUGACUUUGAUUGCAUCAGUUUUGUUUGCACAAAACUUAAAAGUUUUGUACAAUUCCCACAGAUCUCCCUGUCACACCCUUUUUUUUCAUUCCCAAAAAAAAUUAAUUUUUAAGUUUCGAAAGGGUUUUAUUAUUAAAGUGACAAAAGAUGAAAAUUGUUUCGAAAAAAGAUUCAUUAGUUUCAAAACUCAGAGUCGCCACUUGGCAUAAAUUAGGUGAGCCAAGUCACCCGUGGAUAUCCCUUUUCAAAACGGUUUUGACUCUAUAAAAUUGAUCCGCGAACAGAGAUUCUGGAUAAGAAUUCUGUUGAUCGAGAGGAAGGUGUUAGGCACCUCUCGUCCCGUGGUUCGACCACAGUCACUUGGUGGAGUAUAUCGGCUAAUUUGAUACUACAAAAUGUAUAAACCACACAAAACACACAAAAACAAUCGAUCAAGCACACAAAACAAAACAAAUCAAAAAUAUAGCAUCCAGUCCAAUUAUUACAACCCAAAAUAGAAAAGCUACUGAAAAAUAAACCUAUGCUAACAUACACUAAUCCUAAACUACGCUCCAGUGCCUUUACCCGAUGCCUCGAACCUUGAUCACGAACCUCCUUCGAAAACAUAAUACAUCAAGGCAUUCCCCAGUAAAUAAAUAAAUGAAACAUCGGGGCAUUCCCUGGCCAAAUGAAUAAACUUAAGUACGACAAACUAGGAAACAUUCACACAUAUUCCAAGUUCAGACAUCCAGCAAAACACUUAUUCCUAAAUUUGCCUACCCAAACCUACAUUUGCAUAUCCGUUUCAACAUAUUAUAAUUCUAACACGUUCAUAUCAACAAUAAAUAGAAAUUAACCUGAAUCUAUCCUUUUCAUCAAUUUUUCAAUUCUAACCCAAACUAUUCUCGAACCUUUGUUCCAACAUAACAAUUCAACGAUAAUAUUUCAGCAUUCCCCAAUCAAUAUUAUUCGACAUUCAUCAUUCACAUCACGCAUAAGAUAAGAGAAAGUCGAGACGAAAAUAAUUAACCACACACAAUAAUAAAAAUUAACUAAGAAUAAAAAUGAGAUAAAAAGAUGGACCUUAAAUUGGGGAUUUUAUUCGACCAAUUUAAACCGAUUUCAACGAUGACAGAAGCCUCGUGGACUAGUGAACCACGGACAGACCUCAUACGGAACUUUAACAACGAAAAAAUUGACCCCAAACAACCUCUCACCUCUCGACAUUGCAAAGCAAAACCCAAAUCGAAUUUGAUAGUUUUUGGCCGGAAUCUGGAAUGGGAGGAUCGAAAUGAUUUGGGGUUGUAUUACUAUUCUUUGCUACGCCGGAGCUCCGAAAAGCUCGAUAGUAGCCGGAAUCGGAACAACAGCUAGCAGCGAUGAGGGUUUUUUUUUUAGUGAAUACUCGUUGGAAAAUUCUCCCUCCAGUCCGUCAACCUCUCUUCUCACCUUCACUGUUUUCUCCCUAUUCUCUCUCGCACAAUCUCUCCCUCUCCCUCUCUAAGUUCCCUCUCACACCAUUUUUAUUUUCACUUCGAUGUGUGUGUGUUGUUCUUCCUCAAUUCUGUUAUCUGCCUGUAUACGGGUGUAGAUGAUGAGGCUUUUGGUAUGGGAUUCUCUGUUUUCUUAGAAUAGAAAUUGUAUGUCUGUGUAAUCCCCUCGAUGGUGUGUGUGCAAUGUAUAUGUAUAGCUGUGUAUGGUAUAUCUAUAUAUGAAUGAAGAAGAAAUAAAAAGACCCCCCAAGUUUGUUGUGAAGUCGGCCCCACAAGUUGUUAUCAUCUCUUUUUGGAAUGUAGUGUAUUCAAGGUUGGUCAAGAAUUCCUUUUUCUUUGAGUAUUAAUGAGAAUGGGCAAAUUUGUGGGCCCCACUCCCUUUUCAAUGGAAAACCCAAAAAUGGAAUUCUUUUUCUGUUAUGGACCCCAAAAGGAAAAAUAUGAUGGGGAAAUGGGUGGGUUGAUGUGGGUAGUAGGGUAGGUGAGUGUAGGGGUAUGGGAGGUGUUAAAAUUUAAUAGGGAGAGAUUGUUAGGAUAGGAUUAGAACAAGAUAAAAUUUGUUAAGGGUUGUUAUUUUUGUAUUUUUGUGGGGUAUAAUUACAUGGGUGAGGUUACACGGUAGAAUAAAGUAAAAAUGGGUAAAAACGAUAUCGGGGAGGGACAAAAUUAGGUGUCUACAUCAUACCUCCUUUGAAUGUAAACACGAAGUGUUUUCAGACGAAGAAGUAGACAACAAGAUAGAAUUUUGUCCCGGCCAUUAUUCAAAGGAAGAAACAGAAAGAAGGAGAACAACCGAGUCCUGAUUUAAGCCAUCCUUCCCACCCAAGUUAUGGAGGAAUCAAGUGACGGUGUCUCAAAGUAUUGGAAGAAAAUGGACUAUACCGAGUUUAGAGAAUCGAGAGAGGUUCCAUCGAUGUUCUGUUCCGCGGCUCUGUCAUUACCGAAAAAUAAAAAUUACAAGUUAAAACAUAAAUGAAAUUACAGAAUCCUAUCUAUACAGCUUCUGUUGGACUCCUAAUUUAAGUUUCAUCACCCUAUUCUUCAGGCGGGCUCCUGACUUGCAAUUUCAUCACUUGUUGCUUGGUCUUUAAUUGCUUUACCUUGUUGCUUAACUUUCUAUUUAUUUGCCCUGUUCUUCGGGCAGGCUCCUGACUUGCCAUUUCAUCACCCUGUUCUUCAGGCGGGCUCCUAUUUUGCAAUUUUAUCACCCUGUUCUUCAGGCUUGCUUCUGACUUGCAAUUUCAUUACCCUAUUCUUCAAGCAGGCUCCUGACUUGCUAUUUCAUCAAUAUGUUAACUUUUAAAUUUUCACCAUGUUGCUUGGCUUUCAACUUCUUCACCAUGUUUCUUGAUUUUUUAUUCAUUCACCCCGCUUUUCAGGAGGGCUCCUGAAAUCACAUCAAAACUAAAAAGAAAAUUAUCCCAAACAAAGAGCAUUAUAAAGAGAUUUCAUUUGCUAGAAAAGUGAAGUUCCCACACAAGAAUUAAAAUUUUCCCUAGUUUAUCAUCAAUGAACUUUUAAGAAAGUUACAUUAUUAUAGGAAUCAAGGAUAAUGUCUCGACUAUUAGGUACUUCUUACUAGGAGUCAAGGAGAAUGACUCGACUAAAAGGUACGUCUUAUAGGAAUCAAGGGAGAUGACUCGACUAAAAGGUACAUCUUACUAGGAAUCAAGGGAGAUGACUCCACUAAAAGGUAAGUCUUAUAGGAAUCAAAGGGAAUGACUCGACUAAAAGGUACGUCUUAUAGGAAUCAAAGGGAAUGACUCGACUAAAAGGUACAUCUUCUAGUUGUCAAAGGGAAUGACUCAACUAAAAGGUACGUCUUAUAGGAAUCAAGGGGAAUGACUAGACUAAAAGGUACGUCUUAUAGGAAUCAAAGGAGAUGACUCGACUAAAAGGUACGUCUUACUAGGAAUCAAGGGAGAUGACUCGACUAAAAGGUACGUCUUAUAGGAAUCAAAGGUUAUGACUUGACUAAAAGGUACGUCUUACUAGGAAUCAAGGGAGAUGACUCAACUGAAAGGUACGUCUUAUAGGAAUCAAAGAGAAUGACUCAACUAAAAGGUACGUCUUCUAGGGGCUAAAGGGAAUAACUCGACUAAAAGGUACGUCUUAUAAGAAUCAAAGGGAAUGACUCAACUAAAAGGUACGUCUUAUAGGAAUCAAAGGAGAUGACUCGACUAAAAGGUACAUAUUAUAGGAAUCAAAAGAGAUGACUCGACUAAAAGGUACGUCUUAUAGGAAUCAAAGGGAAUGACUCGACUCAAAGGUACGUCUUCUAGGGGUCAAAGGGAAUAACUUGACUAAAAGGUACAUCUUCUAGGAGUGAAGGUUCAAUUUAAGGAGUGUAUCACCUAGCAAAUGAAAACUGAAAUCCCUGUAUAAGAAAGUGUGUCUCCGAGGGAUAUAAGAUGAUAAAUAUUUACGAUGAUUUAAUUAUCAAAUCUAUGCAGGAACAUUGCUUCCGGCAUUUGUAAAAGUGAGAAAUUAUGGGCCUUGAUUUUUAGGCUUUGAAAUCCUUGAUUUAAAGGUAACAUGUGUUCCUGUUUCAUGCAAAGAAAGGUUGUUAGUUUAAAAAAACAUGGUGGCUGGUUUGUGGCUUUAGCUUUCGCGGCGAUUGCUCUUGCCCUCAUCACAUUUAACCUUGCUUCCAACUAUUAGCAUAUAUCUUUGACUUUUUGAAUCAUUGAACUGAACUCAGAUUAUUAAGAGCGACUGAAACAAACACAGUAUCUCUGCUUCGCCAUGCUUCUCAGAUAGACCCUUUGAACUCUAGUAUUUUCAUGAGUUUCCUGACUUGUUUGAUGACAAAACUUUAUGCAUGCCUUAUUCGGCUCACAAUCAUGUCUCUUCAUAUGCUGACUUUGUCUUGCUUUGUGCAAUUGAAGAAGCUGGUAGCCAGUUUUGAAAUUUUUUCUCACUUGUUUUGACAUGGACUUGAUUCAAAGACAAGAAAAGAAAAAAAUGACAAUUAUGCCAUGCAUUUUGGAUUAAAGAGAAAAAAGAAAAGACAAUUAAUGUCCCCUUUUGAAAAAAAGAAACAAAAAUUUAUAUAAAAGUGGCAGUCAACUCUAAUGAUUAUGCCAUGCAUUUUGGAUUAAGCAGCUUGAUCUUUUCAUCCAAACUUUCUACCCAUUGUUGUUGAGUUCAUGGCCUUGAAACUGAGUUGCUUCCUUAGGUCAAUUGCAUUUUAGACCCCAUUCGGCUAGUGGCGCCUUGAAGGAUUUUCACCAACAAGCUUCUCUCAUUUUUUUUCCUCAGCUCACCAUUGCCCUAUGGUGUCUGUAAAGUUUUCCACUAAUGAAACUCUCUUAUCUUUGUUUUUCUUAAUUCACAGUCGUCUUACGGUGCCUGUGAGAGUUUUCACCGAUAAGACUAUCAUUUUUAUCUCUCUCGACUUACCAUCAUCUUACGGUGCCCGCGAGGGUUUGAACCAAUAAGACUCUCUCAUUUUUAUUUCUUUUUUGCUUUCUUAUGCUGAGGAAGACAAGUAGUUCCCAAAUGCAUCGCCAUAGCCCUUGCAUACUUAUCCUUAAAAUCCUCAAAGAUUGAUCUGAAGGUCUUUCUUUGGUUGUAACUUGGAUUUUGGAUAGGAUCGGAAAGAAAGGAUGGCAGGGGGCCCAAACGAUACUAAAAAUGGGGUAGGACUUACAACUUUUGGAAUCGACUCAAACAAUGAGGAUUAACUCAUGUCCUAGUUUUUUUUGACUUGGAAAUUUUAAAUUAUUCAUUUGGUUAGACAGAGCCCAGAGUAGGGUAGCCUACGUAUCUCACCCCUGAGAGAGGAGAAUCAGGUCACGCGUAGUUCUAGCAGCUUAUUCUUUUGAUUGAUUGUGAUUUUUUUGUUUUUUUUCUUUUGUUGACUCUUUUCUUUGUUUUUUUGGACAUAUUUUUUUGUUUUGGAAUUUUUCUGACUCUAUUGCUUUACUCGACACUUUUCUUUUGAGAUUUUUUGACUCUAUCUUGAUUCCAAAAGAGGGGUAUGAAAGAAAAUAGGACUAAAGCUCAUAUGGGGUAAACAAAGGAUAACACGAUGUUUGGAUAGCAGAAUGAAAUGCCUUCAUCAUAUCAAUCCUUGAAAAUGCAAGUACAUAUCAUGCAAUAUGAAAGUACAUGAUCAAUAUCACUUAUGACAUGUUUUACAACACUAACUUGCCCCAAACAUAUGUACCGCCUCUUCUUCUACACUUUCCGAACAUACAACUACAUCUUUGUUGUACAUCCCUCACAUUGAAUGACUCAUUUUUUCAUAGAGUUGGUUUUUGUUCUGUUCCUCGGGAGUACACAUCCGACAUUUGACCUAAUUGAGCUAGGUUUUUCAAUUGAUGACCAAGUCAUUCUUGUGAUUCUCAAAAUAAUUACCUUAAUUUUCGAAGAAGGCUUCAACUUGUCAACAAUUGUCUCAACACGCCACCUAUUUUCUCAGAUGUUUUUCCUAACUUUAGCCUUCUGAUUUAAAGUCCAUGGUUAAGUUGAAUUUUAAGAUCUGGCUGAAAAUUCCGCUAGCAUGUCCUAUCACUAGAAUCAAUAUAAAAUACACUAUGUGAAGAAAACAAACAACAUAUAUUUGAACACAAAGGGAAAAAGGGACACUCUAUUUAAUUUAAAUAAAAGAUAGAGGGUUCGAACAUAAAUAAAAAAGGGACAAAACAAGUUAAAUCCCGAACUACAACCCUAAAAUACUUCAAAAAACAGAAAAGAAAACCAAACAAACUACCAGACCUCUUCCUAGUAGGGAGAGAAGGGGUGACUUCUCAAUUGCUCAGCCUAACAACUUAGCCACUAGUUUGCAUAUCAGCAUGACUAGAGCUUUCCUCACUAAAAAAGUUCUUCACCAUAAUCAAUCCAUCUUGAAUCAUCUUUUUAAUUUCUCUUUUCAAAUCUCGACAAUCUUCAAUACUAUGACCCUGAGCAUUAGAGUGAUAUGCACAUCGUGCAUUAGGAUCAAAAUUUCUUAAACGCCGAUUAAAAGUGCACCCAAGGAGAGGAGUGAUCAUGCCCCAUUGUACCAAUCUCUAAAAUAAACUGGCAUACAACUCUCCAAUUAGUGUGAAGCUAUCUCUCGACUUUUGCCUCAUUUCAUCAUUUGACUUGGAUCAAAAAUCAGGCUUAGAAGGAUUUUGGUAUGUUUGUGGAGUUAGAGGAUGACUCUGAGGAGUUGGUGUGUUCCACUGUGGGUAAGAUGGGGGUUGAAUAUAAGGUUGUGCGUUAUAUACUGGAUAUGGAGAUGGAGGAGCAGAGUAUAAUGGCUUUUGGGAGUGAUUAUGUGGAGCUUGGGCAUGAACUUGGGUUUGUGCCUGAGAGUGAUGACGACGGGGUCUUCUUGACCGUUCCCGCUGUCCAACUACAAUAGCAGAUGCAUCUUCCUCAUUCAUUGUCUCCCCAAUGCUUCCCGAACCCUUUUGAAUUGCUUGAGUAGUCGCUUUUGAUAUUGAAAAACUAACAAUGUGACAAGUCUUAAUACCAUCCUUAAUCAUCUCCCCCAUUUUAUGGACCUCAAUAAAUUACUUGCCCAAUGCAGGUAACAAGUGUUUAUAAUAUGUUUCAUCCUGCGCUUGAAUAAACACCUCCACUAUUUUGCUUUCUUUUAUUGGCAGUUUCACUCUAGCUGCUUGUUCGUGCCAUCUGAUCGGAUACUCCCUGAAACUCUCAGUAUUCUUCUUUUUUAUACUAGUUAGGGAUUUUUUAUCAGGGAUCAACUCCACAUUGUACUGAAAUUAUUGCGCAAAUCCAUUAGCUAGGUCAUCCCAACUAAUCCACUUGUCAAUAUCUUGGUCAACAAACCAUUCUGAAGCUAGGCCUGAAAGACUCUCCUCGAAAUAAACCAUGAGUAGUUCUUCCUUCCCUCCAGCUCCCCUUAGCUAGUUGCAAUAACGUGUCAAAUGUGCUACAGGAUCGCCAUGUCCAUCAUACUUCUCAAACUUCAGCAUUUUCAAACCAAGAAGAAGAUGUACACCUAGAACAUGCACAGAUCUUUAUAUAAGACACUUUUGCACCCCUCAAGUCCUUGCAAGUUUUUCAUAGUCAGUUCUAAUCUUCUCAAUUUUUUGGUCAUUUCCUCUUGUUCUUCUGUCAUAACAGGUUUAUCGGUGUUAGGAGUAAAUUUAGGUGGGUGAGUGCACCGUAAAGACCAGUCAACUUGAAUGUAGGCUCAAAAGUGUAAUGCUGAUCACUAAUAAUAUUCAAUGCAGGCUUUCUUGUAGAGUAGGGAGACAUAACUUGUAGAUGAACAUCAAAAUUAGGAGCUUCGGGCAUGGGUGGGGUCGCAAAAGCAUGAAUAACAGAUGGAGUUGUGUAUGUAGUAGUCUUCGAUUGGGGAGUGAGAAAAUGAACAUUGGAAGUGGUUGGAUAUUGUUGCCCCGGAGUUGAUCCUGAUACAUGUUGGGGAAUAUCAACAAAAAUGGGAAAUUGUGUAAGUGACACUGGAGGUAAGCUAGAAAGAUAUUCCAUAAUAUCAGUGGGACCUGGGGGAGGCAGCAACCCAUUAGUCCAAGCUCGAUGCAUUUCUAUCCUUCGCUGCCUUAAUUUCUAAAUCUCUUUUAUAGAUCCUAAAUUCUCAUUUUUUUGAACUCCCUAUCUGAUUAGUGACAAGAAACUCGGUAUCCUUGUUGGCCAUAACGUUCUCUGUGACUUGGUGUAAUAUGAAGGACCAGCCAAAAUGCCACAAGCCAACCACCUAAACUAACUGAACAAGAGAUAGAAAAUGUGUUAGAGUUCAACACUUUCUCAAAAUCUGUCUUUUUUUUAAAAGGUCACUGAACCCAAGAAGGGCGCCUACGUAUCGCACAUCCCGAAAGAAGAGAGUUAGGUGUGCGUAGUUUAUGAAGUUUGGCCACAAAAUGACGGAUCAACUCUCUUUUUUUUCUAUUUUUUUUUUGAAACUUUGAGAAGAAAAGAAAAUAAUAAAUUGUCAAAAGAAUUGAUGAAAAUAUUUUUUGUAUUUUUUAAGGUAAAACUCCCUAUACAAAAUGAAACCUAUGAUUACCAAAGAAGUAUCUUUUUGGGUUUUCGAUUUUUAAUAUCAUACGACAAUGAAACUUGAAACUAGCAAAGGAAAAUCUUUUUGUAGCUUUUAAAGAUGUAUAUGAAUCCAACUUUAGAGGAAGAGUAAAGAAAAUCUUUUUAAAUUUUUUUAAGUGAGAUCCCCGAACCAACAAUAGGCUGCCUACGUAUCUCACAUCCCGAAAGAGGAGAAUCAGGGGUGCAUAGUUCGUCCAGAUUGGACACUUAAGGAUUAAAUAAAAAACUAAAAUUUAACUUGAGCGACAUGAUUACAGACAGACGAUGAAACAAAAAUCUUUUUUGGGGUUUUAAUCAGACACUUCACAUAAAACUGACACAACAACUAUGAAAGAAAAAUCUUUUUGGUAUUUUCGUUAUAAAAUAUACAAAACUUCUACCAUUUUUUUUUUUAAAUUUUCCUAUUAUAAAAUGCUCUUAUUGAAAAAAUCUUUUUGAAGUUUUCAAAUUAUGAACACUUACUAAAGAAACAAAAGAAUUUUUUUUUUGAUGAUUUUUGUUUUUUGAGUAAAUGAGUGUAAAAGGUAAAACUCUUUUUGGUUUUUUGAUUGUGAAAAACAAAAGUUAUAAAGAACUCAAAAAAACUACAAAACUCUUUUUUGACUCACUUAUCUUCUUUUUUUUUUUUUUUUUUUCCAACAAAUUCUUGUUUAGACACCUUACUUCUAACACAUGCUUUUACCCAAAUCAGUUUGUCAAAUGACCCUGUUAUCCUCAAAGAUGCAACAUUUAGCACACAGGAUGCUUUAGAGGUGAGUCUCCUACAAAAGGCCACGUAGGUCCCGCUAGGUCUCAAUAUGAUGCCGAUAAAUAUGACCUAAAGGCUGAACUACGCUGGGAUUUACUAACAAGGCUGUUCGGGGGAGUGAAUGGUCGAUAGUGGCUGCGAGAGCUUUCCACCCACUCCAUAACACCGACAGUUCCCCCUCCAAAAAUAAGGGUGACUCAACUAGAGGCCGUGUACAAUACAUGUACUACGGACUUGUUGCAAAAAGAAUGACUCAGGUUAUGCACAUGAUGCCAGAUAUAAAGCAGUAACACAUAAGAUAAAACUUUAAACAAAGAGCACAUAGGCACUCAACAAUGAUAAAUAAUAACACAAAACAACACAAAUAAAGUGUCUAUACACCUAUAGUGCCAAACUAAGCCGAUACAACCCCAAAAAUUAGCUCUAAUUCUAAAAAAUCCCUAGCAGAGUCGUCACAGCUGUCACACCCUUUUUUUUUAAUUCCCAAAAAGAAUUAAUAUUUAAGUUUUGAAAGGGUUUUAUUAUUAAAGUGGCAAAAGAUGAAAAUUAUUUCAAAAAAGGAUUCAUUAGUUUCAAAACUCAGAGUCGCCACUUGGCAUAAAUCAGGUGUGCCAAUCACCCGUGGAUAUCCUUUUUCAAAACGGUUUUGAUUCUAUAAAACUGAUCCGCGAACAGAGAUUCUGGCUAAGGAAUUUUGUUGAUCGAAGGGAAGGUGUUAGGCACCCCUCUAUCCCGUGGUUCAAACAUGGUCUCUUGGUGGAGUAUAUCGGCUAAUUUGACACUACAAAAUGUAUAAAUGACACAAAACACACAGAAACAAUCGAUCAAGCACACAAAAUAAAACAAAUUCAAAAUAUAGCAUCCAGUCCAAUUAUUGCAACCCGAAAUGGAAAAGCUACUGAAAAACAAACCAAUACUAACCUACACUAAUCCUAAACUAUGCUCCAGUGCCUUUACCCAAUGCCUCAGACCUUGAUCACGAACGUCCUUCGAAAACAUAAUACGUCGGGACAUUCCCCGGUGAAUAAAUACAUGAAACCUCGGGGCAUUCCCCGACCAAAUGAGUAAACUUAAGUAUGACAAACUAGGAAACAUUCACACAUAUUCCACGUUCAGACAUCCAACAAAACACUUAUUCUUAUGUUUGCCCACCCGAACCUGCAUUUGCAUAUCUGUUUCAACAUAUUAUAAUUCUAACAUGUUCAUAUCAACAAUAAAUCAAAAUUAACCUGAAUCUAUACUUUUCGUGAAUUUUUCAAUUCCCACCCAAACCAUUCUCGAACCUUUGUUCCAACAUAACAAUUCAACGAUAAUAUUUCAGCAAUCCCCAAUCAAUAUCAUUCGACAUUCAUCAUUCACAUCACGCAUAAGAUAAGAGAAGUUGAGACGAUAACAAUUAACCACACACAAUAAUAGAAAUUAACUAAGAAUAAAAAUGAGAUAAAGAGAUGGACCUUAAAUUGGGGAUUUUAUUCAACCAAUUUGAACCAAUUUCAAUGAUGACAGAAGCCCCGUGGACCAGUGAACCACGGACAGACCUCAAAUGGAAAUUCAACAACGACAAAAUCAACCCCAAACAACCUCGCACCUCUCGACGUCGCAAAGCAAAACCCAAAUUGAAUUUGAUGGUUUUUGGCCGGAAUAUGGAAUGGGGGAAUUGAAAUGAUUUGGGGUUGUAUUACUGUUCUUUGCCACGUUGGAGCUCCAACAAGCUCGACCGUAGCUAGAAUCGAAACAGCAGCUGGCAGUGAUGUGAAUUUUUUUUGGUGAAAACUCGUUGGAAAAUCGUCUCUCCCAUCCGUCAACCUGUCUUCUCACCUUCACUAUUUUCUCCCUAUUCUCUCUUACUCUAUAUCUUUCUCUCCCUCUCUAAGUUCUCUCUCAUGCUAUUUUUUGUUUCACUUCGAUGUGUAUGUGUUAUUCUUCCCCAAUUCUGUUAUCUGUCUGUAUACGAGUGCAGAUGAUGAGGAUUUUGGUGUGGGAUUCUCUGUUUUCUCAAAAUGGAAAUUGUAUGUCUGUGUAUUCCCCUCGAUGGUAUGUGUGCAGUGUCUAUGUAUAUCUGUGUAUGGUGUAUCUAUAUAUGAAUGGAGAAGGAAUAAAAAAACCCUCCCAUAUUGUUGUGACAUCGGCCCUAUAAGUUGUUAUCAUCUCUUUUUGGAAUGUAGUAUAUUCAAGGUUGGUCAAGAAUUCCUUUUUUUUUAGUAUUAAUGAGAAUGGACAAAUCUAUGGGCCCCACUCCCUUUUCUACUAAAAUCCCAAAAAUGGAAUUCUUUUUCUGUUAUGGACCCUAAAUGGAAAAAUAUGAUGGGGAAAUGGGUGGGGUGACGUGGGUAGUAGGGUAGGUGAGGAUAGGGGUAUGGGAGGUGUUAAAAUUUAAUAGGGAGGGAUUGUUAGGAUAGGAUUAGAACAAGAUAAAAUUUGUUAAGGGUUGUUAUUUUUAUAUUUUUGCGGGGUAUAAUUACAUGGGUGAGGGUACAGAUAGGAGAAAGUAAAAAAUGGGUAAAAAUGAUAUCGGGGAGGGACGAAAUUAGGUGUCUACACUCUCGUAAAUGGACCCAUCAUAUUACAACAUCGAUAUUCUUAGGAUUUGGAGUAUGGUCUUUGUGGGAUGCAUUCCAUGAUGGGUAAUCAUUUGGUUCCUUCUUUCUUUUGACUAUACUUAUCUCUGUAUGGUCAUUUUUUUUUCUUUUAUAUAAAUCUAAUUUCAUCCACAGGGAAGAGAAGAUUUAGUUGUUGGUCCACUUUGAAAAUUUAUUUUAACAAAUGGACACUCAUUUUGUUAAACCCUAACUUUUUAGUGUUUGGUGGGCCUUGGGCUUAAGUGUAAAAGAAAAAAAUAUUUUGGCACCCCUUAUGUAUUUUUAAAUACUUUUGAAACCCCUUAUGUAUUUAUUAAAUACAUAUUUAACCCUACUCUUCCAUUAAAUACAAAAAAAAAAAAAAAAUUCUCUCAUCUUCUCUCUCUUUACCAAAAUUGCUUCUUCUCUCUUUCCACCAUUUUCAAUUUCGAGCUCAUGUAAAUCAGCUCCAACUUCAAUCUUCAACUUCAGUAAGCUAUAUUAUUGUUUAAGAUAAUUUGUGCUCCAUAUUGAUGGGGUGUUUUUUCAUUUUUUUCCGUACUCAUUUGUGGCGGGUGAAGUCAUUGGAGUUCAAAUAAAUUAAUUUUUUUUUUAGAAUGGGUCUUGAUUUCAGUGAAAGUGAUUGUUUUUAGUUGGUAUUUACUUAUUUUUUAUGGAUAAUUGGUGUGUAUCAAUUAUCCUUUGCGAUUGCAUGUUCAAAUUUCUUCACUAAUUUUGUCGGAAUGUGGCAAGAUAUGUGAUUUUUUUAAAACGUUUCUCCAAUGUAAGGGCGUUGUAGAAGCAUGUUCAUGUUGGGGAUUUCUUCACUGCGUAUUUGAUAGUUAGACUCGAAAAUUUGAUUUUUUUUUUAAAAUGAGGCUUGAUUUUACUUAUAAUUUGUAUUUUUAAGUUGGUAUUCGGUUUGUUUAUGCAUUGUUUGUAUUGAAUUUUAACUUUUCUUGAUGAUUGCAUUGAGAUUUUUUGCCACUUUUUGUCGAUUUGCGUGGUAAAAAUGUGCUGUAAAUUGAAUUUUUUUUUACAACUGCUGCAUUGAGUUAGUGCUGCAACUGCGGCCAUGCUAAUAGACUGCUAGGUCGAUUAGGUAUUGUAUCUGCUGUAAAUUAUUUUUUUUUUGAAAAAAUAGGGAUUGAUUUUACUUAUAAUUUGUGUCUUUAAGUUGGUAUUUGAUUUGUUUGUGCAUUGUUCUCAUUGGAUUUUAACUUUCCUCUACGAUUGCAUUGAGUUUUUUUGUGAUUUUUUCUCAAUUUGUGUGCUUAAAUCUGGGUUCCUUCCUAUUCUUGUUCAAUAUAAUGGUGAUUUAGAUGCAUGUUCUUGUGGGUGAUGGGGUUGUUUUCGAAGAAAUUUAUUCUGCAAAUUAGAAUUUUUGGUGCUGCAACUACUACCACGUUAAUAGACGGCUAGGUCGAUUAGGUAUUGUAGUUACUGUUAUAGCUAAAAAAUAGUAGUUUUUGUUCGUAGAUCAUAACAAAUGGCUAGAGGUAACAAAUGCAAGGCUACAGAAGGUGAUAGGUCUAAGAGAAGAAAAAAACGAGCAGUUGAUCAAUUGGAGAAUAGACAUUGCAUCGAGGAAACAGUUGAAGCUUCGGUUCGAGAUGAGCUGGAGAAAAUUGAUCCUCUCGAGGCUAGGAUAGAUGAGGAAGCACUAAUAUUGUCCCACAGUGCAAGGUUUUUUUCGGCUGAGAGGUACGACCUCGCCAUAGUCCUGGAUGAUGUCGGAUCAUUUUCGGCUAAGAUAUCCAUUAGGUCCCGUUUGAAGAUGUUUAGUGAAUUCAAACAAGUCGUGGUUGAUCAAUGUCUGAAGUCUAGGUUUAAGAAUUCCUGUUUUGAUGGUUUAUGGGACCUGCCAGAACAUAUGAAGUUCAAUGGAUAGCUUGUCCACUAUACACUUCUGCGCCGAGUCGAACCGGACAACAAACUGCUUGAAAUAUGGUUCAACAUCAAUGACAGGCUUGCAUGUUUUGUCCUAAAGGAGUUUGUGCUAAUCACUAGUUUAAAUUAUGGUCGUUAUCCCCGUGAUUCAAGAUAUGUCAAAGCGAUGGAGGAGGGUGAAGCUUUUUUCAAAAAGAUUGUGAAAAAGAGGAGUGUAAAUGCAAAGAUAUUGUUGAAGCUUAUUAGAGGUGGAAGGCUGGUCAAGGAGGACAAGUUUAAAUAUUGUUUGGUUUGAUUCGUGCACUGCAUAUUGCUUGCACCGCACUUGUCAAAAACCGUGGACAUAGACACCAUCAAGAUGGUGGAUAACUUAGGCUUCUUUGAGAAAUACCCUUGGGGUAAGGAGUCAUUUUCCUUGACUCUAGACUUACUAAAGAAGCGGAUAGACUUCAGUAGGAAGAAGAAGACAUUUGUGACAAUUGGAGUUUCAGCGUGCGCGCUCUACGGAUUUCCCUAGGUAUUUAUGGUAUUUGAUUAUAAAUCAUUGAAGUAGUUUAUCAUAUACUGUAAUUCAUCUAUGGUGUCUAUUAUUAUACUUACUCUCUAUUUUAUGUUUUUGUUUUUCCUGUUGAUCACAGAUUUAGAUAUACGAAGCCUUUCCCGCGCUCGGCAGGGGAAAUAGUAAAUCAACUGAAGUCCCUCUAUCCAUUCCCCGAUUACUCAGAUGGCACACCUCAAAAGGCGAUAAAAUAAUCGAAGGUGAUCUAUAUUUGAACGGAUGGAGCACAAAGGUAUGAAACAUUUCUUUCGAUGAAUAAUUUUACCAAUAUUGUGUUGCUAAUCAAUCACAUUUGCCUAUUUAUCUGUAGAGAGUGCACCCAUACCUUGUCCCCACAAUCCGUGAAAUGAAGUAGCACUACAUGAAAAAGGUCAAACCAUUUAUAGACUAGCCAAACGAUGCAUUAAUCGAUGGCUUAAAGGCCUUUCUGGAGGGUGUGACUGUUAUCACCUCAUCGGAGGAUGGUAAGGAUAGGUAUGAUGACCAGGAUUUAGGUGGAAAUGCUGUUUCAAAGCAUGUCACUCGGGGUGCGGGGACAAGUAAGCCGAGAGCAUCGGGAAAGACACUGAUGAUUGAAAAUCUGGAAGAACGCGUGUUUAGGCUAGAGGAGUCGAUCAAGGACAUCGCUUAUUUCGUAAAAGAAGAGAGCCUGAGAAGAGCAUAAAAGGAGAAGCAAAAAAAGAGAGAUGAAGAUGAAGGUAAUAUCUGCUCUAUAUAUUAUAGAAGAUGCAUAUUUUAUAUAAUCCCUUUUACUUAUAAUAAUAGAAUCUAUACCAUUCUUCAUCAAUCGAUAUCUUAGUUUAUUAUAAAUGGUAAAUACUUGAAAAUGUAGGUGAGCAGGUGCAAUGUCGGUAUUCAGCGGAGAGGGUUGGCCGCGAUGACAGCGGCAUCAAAGAAGCCCUCCUUGGGGUAGCAUCUUUGGAACAUACCUUUAUCAAUGUUGAUGAGGUGAUGAUCCCUGAGGUUGCAGCUGCUGUAGAGAAGGAAAAUCUGGAUGAAGGCGAUGAAGGGAAAGAAGAAGAAAAAAUAAAGAAGUUGUUUGUGAAGAAGAAAACAAAGUUGAUGGAUCAGCUGGUGUGGAGAAGGAGGAUCAUGACGAAGGCAGACAGGAUGAAGAUGAUAAAAAUGAAAAAAGUGAUUAUGAGGAAGAAAACAAUGAAGGAGAUGGAGAGAAAACAGAAGAGAAGAAUGCACAAGAAGUAGACAAAGAACGGCAUAAAGAAGAAGAAGAAAAAAGUGAUGCACCAGAAAAAGAAGGUAUCGCGGAGAAAGAUAACGAGAAUGAAUUUCCAAACUCGGAUGAAUUUCUUAAUGAAGUUAGUCAGGAAAUAGGCAAGAUGAUGGUGGAACCGAAAUGUUGAAUCUUUAUAUAAUUAUUAAAUUUUUAUUUGUGGCUGAUGAUUAUUUUUAUUUGACUAGAUAAUGUUAACUUCUAACUUUCAGCUCGGGAUGCGUAGAACUGAACAAUUUUAUUUUCUAAACCGCCUUUAUAGUAUAAGAUAAACAUUUUUCAUUUUAUAUAAUCAACGUAUCAUUACUUUUACAUGAAUUUUCAUCGUUGAUUAUAGACUCUGAUUCAAAGGUAAAGCAUAUAUAGUAGAGCGAUGUGUAGUCAAUGAAUGAAAAAGAUAAACCAUUUAUAAUAUAACUAACAAGUAGUUGAUUAAUAAACAUUCAAAAUACAUUCAAUCCCACUACACCCCCAUUACACCUUUCCAAAAAUCUAAAACUAAUAGUAAAUCAUAGACCAUAAAUUUCAUGCCCUUUUCUUUUUCUUCAGCCAUAGCCAACUUAUGCUUAAGUUGAUCCCUCUCAAUUUCGACAUCUUUCAACAAUCUCUUAAAGUGAUCAAUCUUGUGUUCUGAUUCUCUAUAUAAUGUCAUUAGAAGAUUCCUAUUUUCUUCGGAAUCUCUAAGCCUUUCAAACAUUUCAAAUUUUGCAAUGCCUUGAAAUUUUGAGACCUCGAAAUCGGAGGAAAUCCACUUGAAAUAAGAGCAUCCACCAUUAUCCUAAAAUAACGAGGAUAAAUUAGUAAAUUGAAUUAUGAGAUGAACAAAAAUAAAUUUUUAUUUAAACAAAAACAAACCUUUCCAACCGCACAACUGUUGAAUUUUUGCCCCGAAUUUCUGUCGGUACGUGAUAUUUUCAACACCGCAGGAUUACCACAACAGCAAAUAUAAGAACUUUUAGAAGUUUGAGAUGACUGUGACAUUUUUAUUGUUGAUGCCAAACUUGAAAGUCAUGAAUAAAUGAACAUGGAGGAGUCCAAAAGGGUCCCUUUAAUUAAUAUAGUAAGGCUAUCAAAAUCUGACCAUUAGAAAAUUCUACCCGUUAGAAUUGUACUGUUGGAGAAAAUUUAUAUGGAUUAUCUUUUACUUCAAAGGUUCUCUAACAAAUGUAUAUGUCUUCUAUUAUCGACUGGGUGACUUACGACUUAUAUACUGAUGUCAGUGUUGAUUAUCCUGUGUAUUAGAAUAUUAUCAAUUAAGACUACGGUUGAUUAUAAAUCUUUUAUAAUAUGUAUGAUUAACUUGCUGAAUAUAUGGAAGGCUUAAAAUAAUAAUAAUAAAAAGGAUAAAUUAAAUAAAAUAAAAUUAGAGUAUGUCAAUUAACACAAUUAAAACAUUGUAAAGAAAUUUUGAUGCAUCAAUUAUGACUUCCAAUCACUUUUGGACGUGAUCAAGUGUUAUGUUAGACAUGGCGUAGUCGUAGAUCAUUGAGAUGACAUAAAAAGGGGAAGAAAUAAUAUAAAAUAAAAUAAAAUAAAAUAAAUAUUAAUCAUCUAAGCACUAAUGAACGACCACUUAUUAUGACAAGAGAUUAGACUUGUGUGAUGACCAUAAGGAUGAGUGAUGGUUGUUACUUGUGAGUGUUCAAUGGACAAGUAGUGUAUAAGAACAAGGAGUCCUUCUCAACAGAGACGCUUGUUCUAGGUAAUUGGUUGUUACUACCAUUGCCCUCCCCUAUACCCAUUUGAUCGAGUGUCCAAUUAGUUUGUAAUCUAAUAUUAUGAUAUUUAGUCAUUUUACAUUGCGUGAGUGAUGUUAGUUUAUUUUAUUUCUCCCUUUUUUGAAUCUUACAUCCUUUGAAAAUAGACUUCUUUGGUCGAUACAUGACUAAUAAUAAAGUCUGGUAUAGAUAAAUCUAUUUAUUUAUAAUAUACUCAAGAUAUCAUAAAAAGUCUAUUUUCAAAAGAGGUGAGAUUAAAAAAAGGGAGAAAUAAAAUAAAAUAAAAUAAAUUAACAUCACUCACGUAAUGUAAAAUGACUAAAUAUCAUAAUAUAAGAUUACAAAUCAAUUGGACCCUCAAUAAAAUGGGUAUAGGGGAGGGCAAUGGUAGUAACAACCAAUUACCUAGAACAAGCGUCUCUGUUUAGAAGGACUCCUUGUUCUCAUACACUACUUGUCCAUUGAACACUCACAAGUAACAACCACCACUCAUCCAUAUGGUUAUCACACAAGCCUAAUCUCUUAUCAUGAUAAGUGGUCAUUCAUUAGUACUUGGAUGAUUAAUAUUUAUUUUAUUUUUUUUAAUUUCUUCUCCUUUUUAUGUCAUCUCAAUGAUCUACGACCACGCCGUGUCUAAGAUAACACUUGAUCACGUCUAAAAGUGAUUGAGAGUCACAAUUGAUGCAUCAAAAUUUCUUUAAAUGUUUUAAUGGUGUUAAUUGACAUACUCUAAUUUUAUUUUAUUUAAUUUCUUCUUUUUUUUCCAUUAUUUUAAGCCGUCAAUAUAUUCAGAAAGUUGAUCAUAGACUAUAUGAGUGGUCACUAAUAGACUCAUUUAUAAGUUGAUAAUCUCUCAAUAUGCAGGAUCAUGAACACUGAUUUCAUUCUAUAAUUCACCUGUGACACAGUCGAUUAUAGAAUGUGUAUUUAUCAUAGUCGAUUAUUUAUUCUUACUGUACUGAGAGUGUAAAUAAAGUUUGAAUUCUUAAAACACGGACUACUGAAGAAACACUAACAAUGAAAGCUUUCAUUUACAUAAUCCUACCAUGAAAGAUUCAUUAAGCAAUGAACUAAAAACCAGACAAAAAAAACAACAACACUACACUAGGGGAACGAGGAAGGGUGAUGAGUUCACGGGGAUCCAGGUUGAACCACUCGGCUAUGGCUUGAAGAAAAUGAGCCAUCCAGCGAAGCUCUCUAUCCAGCCGUCGUUGAUCGGCGGUAAGAUCCUCGAAAAGAAAAUCCAGGUCACUCCGAAGCUUUAGCAACUCUAUGUAUUUUAUUGUUGACAUUCUAUGCAAUGGCCGUAGUGGGUGCAUCCUCCUAGCCAUCUUCUUCUCCCUUAAGUCUUUUUUCUUCUAAAACUGUGUUCAAAAUUGACCAUGGUCUCUUUAAAUAAACCAGACCAUGAUAAAAUCGACUAAUAAAAGCUUUACACGUGUUGAUUGAAGGGGAGAAGGCCUGUGAGAAUAAGAAAUAAAAAGUCGCGGCGGUUGUGGCAGUCGAGGCAUUUAAAAUCCUACCGUUUCGUAAAGUGUAAUAAUUUCAUUGAAAGGUUCAGUGUAUGAGGAAUAGGAUUUUUGUAAUAGACUACACGACUGAUCGAUGAUAAACUAUGUAUUUUACACUAUACCCCCGAGACAAUGCAUCGAUGUAUUAUAUAUUUUGAGUCGAGUCGAUGUGUAAUGUGUAUAGUCGAUUUCAGAACUUGAAAAGGCAGUUUUCGAAUUGUCACCCAUUCCAAUGCAUCGUAAUUAUUUCUAAUUCAACAUUGUAUGAAGAAAAGGGUUUAUUCAAUAGACAACCAGGUCGGUUUAUUAUACACUACGUACUGAACAUUUACUUAAUAGACCAAACACUGAUAUAUUAUAUAUUAUGAGUCUUGUCGAUUAUUUAAGUCUAGAAUCUAUUUAGUACGUAUUAUAUAAUAUAUGAACAGGAAUCGAUAAUGCACAGUAAAAAAACUUGACUUUAACUGUAGUUCAGUGGUUUUCAAAACAGAAUACACAUUACAUACUGUCCAGUGCAUUUGAACAAACAAAAACAUUCAAUACAAUGCCAAUCAUAUUAUCCUACGUUAAGGCUGCAUGUUGUUCUCUUAUGUCCCGGCCUUUUGCACUUGGAGCACAUGUUUCUUUUCUUGUACCUUGAAGGUUUGAAUACACCCUUAACGCGUUUCACCUUAAUUUGUCUGAGUUUGGGAUCGAAGUUGGGUGGAAGAACUUGCAUUUCAAGAUACUCUCGUGCUAAACUCCACUCCGACUCAAGUGGUGCUGCACAAAUAAAUUCCAAGUAUGCAAGGUGGUAUGAUUCUUUCAAAUAUAUUUGCGAAGAGUAGUUGUAAAUUCUAGUGUCGUAUUUGUCCCCGUGCUUCAAACGCAAUGCUGCCAUUGCAUGAGCGCAUGGCAAUUUCACCUAGUCGUACUUUCUGCAAGAACAUGACUGUCUCGAAAGAUUAACUUUUGCGGAACGACCGUAUCCAAGCACGGUGAAUUCGUCGGUGCUUCCUUUUAUGUUGUUCACAUAUAAUUUAUCCCCCUCGUUCAUGUUUUCCCUCAAGAUCGUCUUGGCUGCGGGAACGAAGGUUGUCUUUGAAUUGUCCACCUUCGCAUACCUCUUCCUAAAUAUUUCUCCAAAUCUAUGUGCAAUUGAAUUGAAUAUGGCCGCCACUGGAUACUCUCUUUUGUUGCGCAAUAUUGAGUUGAGCGACUUGGCGAUGUUUGAGGUCAUGACGUUGAAUUCAUUACCUAGAAAGUGAGCCCGGCUCCAUUUUUCAAAUCCUACUUUAUGCUCGAGUCAAGCUGUUGUGCUAGGGCAUCUUUCUUUAAGGGCGUUGAAGUAGUCAUUAAAUUUUUCCAACAUGUACAGCUUGGCCGCAUGGUUAGUACAAAUAGAGAGAAUCAGAACAAUGGUUAUUUAUUCAAAGAUUUUUACCGAGAUGCCUCAUUCAAACACCGUGAUGCGCAAGUGGAUAAUGCCUUGUAAGGCCGUUGGCUAUGCUUACGUGUCUGUCGGAGAUAACGCACAGCUCAGGUUUGUCGACGACAAAGGCCUUAAGUUUCUCGAAGAAGAAGCCUCACGACGCAUCGUUCUUCUUAUCCACCACACAAUACGCUAAGGGAUAGAUAUGAUUCUGCGUAUCUUGAGAGCUAGCAGACAGCAGCACGCCCUCGUACUUAUCGAACAAAUGCGUGCCAUCAACGGCAACGACCUUUCUCAUGUGUGCUAUCUACAUAUGGAAGCCCCAAACGCCAUAAAGUAGUAAAUAAACCUACCAGACUCCUCAUCAAUCCUGAGGGAAUUAAUAUACCUGGGGUUGAGGCCGUUGAAAAUAUAUGAAAAUGUAGGAAGCACUACAUAACCAUGCUCAGGCGUACCUCGAACUAUGUUCUUCGCAAUGACGCCUGCCAUCCAACACUUUCAAUAGCUCGGCCAGCAAUGUAGCUCCCUAAAUACGAUCCUCUCGAUCUCUUUCGAGCUUAGACCGUUGUUGUCGACGAAAAAGUUCAAAAUAAGUGAGUCAAUGACCUCCACGGUGACGUUCUUGUGCUUUUCUAUGACUUGAUCAACACCACAAGUAUGCUCUCCCACGUACUUGUGGACGUUAAACCAAACUGAUUCUCUGAUAGCACAUGUGCGCACCAUCCAUCGGCAAGUACGAUCUACGCUCCUCACCCUCAAGUAUUUAUUACUACUCCUCAGAGUUGUGUAAUUGAACGACAUUUUCACCGUCGUCUGCUUCAACAGAAGUUUUAUUGUUUUCUUAUCCUUCAAUGCUUGUCCUAAAAAAAGAUUGGUGCCGUUCGAGAAAGAGUAGCUUCUUUGUGGUUCGAUUUGCCCGUCCUCACCUCUUCCGCACUCCUCUUCUUCAUAAUCUUCACUAUUAUCCCAUUAAUUAUAACCCAUGAAAUCGUAUUCCGUUGACGUAUCAUCCAUCUUUGGGGGUGGAAGUGGGGGUGAGGGUAGUGGUGGGGCUGAUGUGGAAGCUUCUUCCCCGGACCUUUCAAAAACUUUAACCCACAAUAUAGGUCUAGAGUUAUCAGAAUCAACGCAAUAUAUAAUUCCACGUGUCUAUCAUUCCUCAUGAAUGUUGGAUGGAUUUUCCCCUUCCCGUUCAUCAAGUAACUAAUUAACACCUUGCUUUGAUCACAACUUAAUUCAUCGCUCUCCAUUACGCUUUUAACCAUGUCGGCGUAUGAACCGUUGUGACGAAGGGCAAUGGAAACUGUCUCCUUAGACGCGAUUUUCCAAACCCAACAUUUAGGACUCUCCUCCCAUUCACCUGAAAAUAUACCACCAACAACCACGUAAUCUAUAAUAGACAUAAUAUAUCUCGAUAAUAGUAUUCAAUAGACUUGAAUAGUGGUUUAUGCGCCUAGACUUAAUAGACUGAAGUCGUCUUCUUCCUAGCUGCUGGUCGUACAGUGCACGAUUGACCCUUUUUCGACGACCACCGGAAUAAUCCAACGAAUUUCAGCUUACAAACAACCUAAGGAGUAUUGGAAUGUUGCUAUUGACCCAAGAAUCAAUUUCGAAAUGUGGGACUGAAUUUCGAGCUUUUUGUAUGAAAAUGGAAGAAAAAUUAGAGCUAAAAAUAAUCGAAAAAGGCUUAUAACAAUGGAGAUAAUGUCACUUUUCGAUGGAUGCCGAAAAAUUCGAUGAAAAAUGGCCAGAAAAUGGUCGGAAAAUUGAGGAAAUGGCUCCAAAAUAGGGUGGUUGCUAGUGGAUUGGUUGAGAACAUUUAGAAUUUUUUUUUAAAUUACUUAUCCAAUAUUUAUAUUUUUCAAGAUAGAUUAAAGUGCAGUUUUAAUAAAAUUAGGCCUGAAUAGAAAAAUGGGCUAAAGUGUAGAUUUUGUAAGUUGAGUGUUAGAUUUACAUUUUAUUUUUGUGGUCCCAUAAAAGUGUCCAUUCUUGAAAUUGAAAAAACUUGGUGGAUAAAUGUCAAAAAAGGGUUUAGGAAGUGGACACUUCCCCAGAGGGAAGCUGAGGAUUUGGCUGAAGUUGAAGCACAGCUGGUCUGUAUCUUUCCAAUUACAUGUUACCGAACAUGAAUUUUACCUUUUCUUAUUUUUAUCUUACAUAUUGCAAGUAGGACACUGAUCUAAAAGAUAAUGGUGGAGCAACCAAGGACAAGAAUCAGGUAGCAUGCUUGUUCAUACUUCAUAGCAUAUAUUUGCAUUUCUGUUCUUUCCUUUUCCUUUGUAAAAUUAACUUUUAAGGCUUCUUGUAGUUAAGAUAAAUGAAAGUGACAGUUCUGUUAAGAGAAGGAAAGUAUUAACCUCUCCCAAUAUCCAUAGCAGCAAUUUACAAUCUUGUCGCUUGAUGCAAAUGCUAGUAAGUGGCUAGUUUGGAUACUUGGUGAUGUGAACUCUCAUAGUUAGUGGCGACAAUUAUUGUCGCUGCAAUACAUCACCUUUUCGCAUUGGAUAAAUUUUGUCGCCUCUAAUAGUUGUUACUAUACUGAAAAUUUUAGUUCCGGUAAUAUAAAAUUUUGGCUCAAUUUUUAUAUUGACAGCUAAUAAAAUAUUGCCUCUAAAUGUAAUUAUGUGCCGACCUCAUCGCCACUAAAAUUAUUUUAUUUUAUUUUUUAAAUUAUAAUAAUGGAAAACUUCUAGUAGGUAUUAGAUAAUGAAAAUUUCAGUAAACUGCUGGUCUCCUCUUUGCUCAAGCUAUGACUUGGGAUUCUAGUUUGUUUAAACGAAGAAGAUUUUCUUUAAUUCUUUAUUACUUCCAAUUCCAGAAUUUCAUCAUAGAAGUGCUUCAACUGAGGAACCUCUAUUGUUAAUUUUUUUUCAUUUUGAUCCCUUUUUGAACUUCAGAUUCCAUGUUCAAUAUAUGUGCUUGAUUGAUUAGAGUUUUCCUGCUCCUUCUAUCUCUUCUUGUAUCUGCAUUUCAAGCAUUCUGCAACUAUAAUGGCGGACUCGGCAAGUUCUUUUCCGUUGAUUUUUCCGAACUUCUGCAUUGCAGAUUGAUGUAGUGAACGACACCAGAAUCAGAAGGGCUUUAAGGAGAGUGUCCUUUACAAUACUCAAGGUAUGUGGAUUUGGAUUUAGAUUUGGUUCUAGCUUUUAAAAUCUUUAUUUUUGGAAUUGCAACUAGUUGCUUGGAUGGUAAUAAUGGCUCACAGAUUACCUUCUUAAUGUGGAUGUUCAGUUUUACCUUUCCCAGAAUGUAGAACGUUCUGUACAAUGUGUACAAGAGCGUAAGUUGCGGAAAGUGAAGAGGUGAAGGUCCAAAAUAGGAGCUGUUGCACAUUAUAUGGACUAAUAGGCAUUAUAUAGCCAAAAGGCUAAAUGCAUUAAAAGUUUUAAAAUGUGUGUAAAAACUGGGAAAACAGUAUCGAUGAAGUCCUUUAGGUUUCUGUUGAAUGAAGGGCCUUUUUGCACAACGGAAUGAUUGAUAUGCGUCAGCAAACUCUUGUUUGAAUCUGCUCAUAUCUCUCAAUCAUUGGCUCUUGCACGUUUGCUUGUUCCUAAUCCUAAUUCCUAACUAUGCAACCAACGAACAAAACACCCAGUGUAGUCCACUAGUGAGGUCUGGGGAGGGCAGGAUGUACCCAGACCUUUGGCAGAAAUGCAAGGUAAGGUUGUGUACGAUACACCAUUGUGGUGGAGCCCUUCCCCGGACACCGCGCAUAGCGAUAGAUUUAGUGCACCGAGGAGAUCCGUGUUAUGUACCGAGAGGGACCAGAAGGCACUCCCUAUCACACCCUUCUAGCUGAAGGCUAUGUGGAUGGCGCAUUAGAUAUUUGUAAGUUAAAUUUUAUAUAUAUAUUUCUCCGCCCCCGAUAUAGUAGCAGGGAAGCUUAAUGUAAACAAAAAAGUUGUAUUUCAGGAUUUUGCAUCUCUUGGGAAGCAGAACUAUAUAAAAAGUGGUAAGUUUUUGUAUGUUUGUGACACUUGAAUGCAGACUAAUAUACUUCAAAUGCAACACACUAAUGCACUAUUUAAAAGCUGUUUCAACUAAAGAGCAGAUAAGGAGAUAAAAAGUCUAUUUUUUCUUUUCUCAGCUUGAUCAUAAACAUCUACUUUUAUCGAUAAACUCUGAACCUAUGUGUCCACAAUUGAGAAUGAGAUAAUUGAAGGAAAUCAGUGAAGAGUUUGAAGAAUAUAAAAGGUUGUUUGGUGGUGGCUGUGUUUUCAUAUCAGCUGCGGUCUAGAUUUGAAGAGAUAACAGAUAAUUUCAUUCAGUAUUUCGGUUGGAAAAUGGUACUGGCAGAAAUUUUUAAUCAAAGGUUUAUCUGGAAAGUGAUAAUUAGAGACUGAAAUGUUCUUAGCUAAGCCACUAUUUUAAACUAAUUAAUCUUACAGAAAACAAGAUGAAAAUUUCAUUUCAAGUUAGAGAUCAUAAUGUUUCUUAUUUUCUUUAACUAUCUAUACGCCGAUAAUCAUAUUACUGUGUCUUUUUCUCCAGAUCUCUGACGUAGAUAGCGUUGAUAGAAGUACACAUGGUUAUUCCAAAGAUGGGAUAAUAGGAGCUACUUCAGGUAACAUACACUCCUUUUGUAUAUCGUUCCCACCUAAAAUGUCUACUACUUAUUAUUUGCUUUUAGUGGUGAUGAUUUUUAAUUUCCUCGCUGAAAAAUUUCUAAUCGAGUCUAUCGAAUGGCUUUACAGUUUCAGAAAAUUGGGUUCAUUGGUGGUAAUGAUGUUUCCAGUUGUAUUGAUAUUGGGAAGCUUUAUGUGUGGUGCACAUAUGGUUUACAACCGAUUCGUACUUAACUCUCUGAGCUAAAAGUUAACAACAAUAACAUAUCCAAUGUAAUCCCACAGAAAGGGGUUUGGGGGUGUAGGGUGAAUGCAGACCUUAACCCUAGCUUGGAGGUAGAGAAGAUUUGCUAUUUUUAUAUUGUAUAGGUAUUUAGUUAAUUUCAAAAGGUUAGCCAAUUAUCCUGCUACUCCUUUCUUUAGUUAUCAACAAUAGACAUAACCAUAUGUUCCUGCUCAGUUUUCUGUAUUCAACCAUUUGGCUAAAUCCACCAAAAAUGCAUUGUAACUGUGAAACGAGUUGUAACUAAAGAACUGGAGAAAUAGCAAGUGGAAAACACCAAAAACUAGAACCCAGUCCGCAAAAAAGAGCAUCUUAAACCCUGAAAAGCCAGCAGUUCAAAACUUCAGAAUUUAUGCAAGAGUUAUAUUAGUUAUUUGCUCACCAAAACAGACACGAAGUUGGUCUUAUAGCUUUUCUUUUGCACUCUUUGUCAGGUAUUUCAUUAUGUUCCUUUACUUCUGCCUCUGCUCGCCCUCCCAUUCGGUAACCUCAUUUUAUUAUGUGAAUUAAAUUGUGUGCAGUUCACAUUCUGUUUUAUUCGUCAAGUUGAUUUUAUUGACAUUUUAUACAUUCAUGGAUUUUGUUUAGUUGAUUAACUGUAUAUGCGUUUUAAUGAAGAUACUUUCUAGAAAGUGUAUAGUACAACUCUUGCUUUAUUUGCAGAUGCAGUCAGCGUUUAUCAUUAUGGCCAAGGGCAAGCAUACGCCAUUGUGACAGGAAGGAAUUCGUACCUCGGAAGUUACCACCUCUACAUCUUGAGGUAGAAAAGAUUGUACAGUCAAUUAUGAAAUCGCCAAUCUGAUUAAGUGGAAGAACAAUUUUAUGUUCUAUUAUUAUGCUUAAUCCUUUUAACAGUUUAAUAGAGUCAAACUGUUAUGUGAAUCAUUCUAGCUGAAAUUUGUACUACUUGCUUAUUAAUAUGGUACAAGACUUGUAGUAGAUACUAAUCUUGGAUGAGUAGUUAACAAAGUUUGACCUCGAACCCCGUGCAUAGCGGGGAGCUUUAGUGCAUUGGGCUGUCUUUUUACUUUUGGGUUGCUCAGUAUAACCAUUGCAGCUUUAGGUAUAGUGGACCUGCUGUAUGGGCUGAGUGGAGAUUGCUUUAUGGCAGAGACGUUCAAGACAGUUAUCAUAUUGCCGAACCAGAAGAAUGUAGAUCUUGCUGUUGAAAUUCGCUUGUGUCAUUUCUUUUGCCUGCAGCAGCACGGGCAUGUUGAGUUCUGAUUGCAGAGGUAAACUCAAGAAGCUUGUUAGCUAUGUUAUAUGUGAAGCUUGGUUUAGCAUGGUUAUAACACUUACAAAAUCAUAUGUGCUAAUUGUGAUGUAUACAAUUCUUUUCCUUUGUAAUAUUACAACAUUGUCUAUAUUUCCCAUGACAGCAAUAUAUGUUCUUCACCUGAAUUAUUGGGCCCGCGCUGGCGCGGGUUCUUCCAUCUAGUAAAUAUAUGUAUAUAUAUGCAUUUCGUCUUUUUCUUUUUCCCCUAAAAUCAUAAAGUAAUUCAGUACUUUUUUAAUGGCAGGGACGUUCUUAAAUAAUGGGUUGACCAAGGAGGAGCAUGAAAACGUAGAAUGCAUUUUUGUUUUUUGAUCAUAUGCAUGAAUAUGAUAAAACUGAAGCACUAUGUCAUUCUUAACAUAUAUGUCAUUGACUUCUUAUUAAGGAAUGUACUUAUAAUAUUUGAUCAGAGGAUGAUUUUGUAAAACACUAUUGGAUGCUUUUAUUAGCUAAUAUUAUUUGUAGUUCUUAAAAUUUGUUUUCAAUUUAUUAAAACAUUAUUGAUGUUGAUUUUAUGGAGACAAAGGUCGUUACUAAUGCAGAAGUUUUAGUGGGAACAAACAAGUGGUCACAAUUGAUGCGCAGAAGUUUUAGUGACGACAAACAAGUGGUCACAAUUGAUGUGCAGAAGUUUUAGUGGCGACAAAAAGGUGGUCACAAUUGAUGUACGGAAGUUUUAGUGGCGACAAACAGAUGGUCACAAUUGAUGUGCGGAAGUUUUAGUGGCAACAAACAAGUGGUCACAAUAGAUGUGCGGAAGUUUUAGUGGCGACAAACAAGUGGUCACAAUUGAUGGUGAUUUUGUGGCGCUAAAAUCGCUGCUAAUUCCGUUAUAUCAGUGGCAACCUAGCCCUAAUAUGUUUUGUCAAAAUACAUUUUGCAGCGAAAUUGUUUAUCGUUUGUGGCGGUAAUAGUCGUCACAAAUAACUUCUUAUUGUGGUGACCAUACUUUGUCGCCACAAAUAACCUUUAGUUACGGAGUUAUUACCAAAGACAUAAUUGUCGCUGCUAAAAAUAUUCAGUGGCGAAUAUUGGUUCUUUUGAGGCGACUUUUGUCGCCACUAAAACCAGAUUUCUUGUAGUGGCGCGUGUUUUUCCGAUGCAGGUUUUAUGUUAGAUUAGCCCAAAAGGGGGAUAACUAUGGUGUACUAUCCCACACGAAGAGUGAUUAUUGUAUAUCAUCAUUGUAUAUCAUCAUGCAGAACUACGAUCCUUACGGCAAACUUGGAUUGGAAGCUUGACCGAUGAGUUAAUGGUAGACCCAUAUAACCCCUGGGUAAUAAAGUCGGAACGCUAUCUAGCCCAGAAGUAAAACAAAGAGUAUUGUUUAUGUUUUUACAAGAUUGACCACAUAUUUUAUUAUUUUUCAUGCCCAUGUACUUGAUUCCACUUUGCAAAUUUUUUUCUUAACGCUUUUAUGAUGUAUAAAAAUGUAAUUGUUUUUUGUUAGUUCCGCAUACCAAUACAUUUCAAGUAUUGAUCGUUCUUGGGCGGCUGCAUUAUCUUAUAAUGUAGGUUCUGAGGCACAGUCCCAUGGUCCAGUGCAGCAAUAGACCUGCUUCCGAAUUUAGAGUUGGUGAGCCUCUCUUAUUUUGGAGGAAGACGUUUAUUCAUAAGUUAGUUUCUUUCAGUUUUAUGUUCCUAUCAGGGGCCUUGUACCGAUAUAGACAGACUAGUAUUCAGUAGAGGUUUCGUAGACUGAAUUGGGGUUUAUGAUUCGAUGACAUGAUGUAUUGAAUUGAUUAUGAGAUGUGCCUAUGUUUUAAAUUAUCUUCCGUUUUAUGUAUAUGAAUUAUGCUUAUGAUAGUACGUUAAGGGAUGCUCCCGAGCCUCGAGGGUUUGGAGAUGCUCGUUACAGGCAGGGCUUCGAGCCAUUUUAAAAUUUGCCCAAAUAAUACAUCUAAUUCUCUUCUUUUUCUGAAAAUAGGGAUUAAAAGUAAAUAAUCAUUUAAUAAAACAAUCAACAAAUUAAGAUAAUACACUUCAAUUAGAUUUUAGAGAACAGAAGAAUUUGUGGGAAGCAAGAAUUUUACAAAAAGGUAUAUAUAUCCACUCUUACUACAAUUUCACUUUACUUUGACUUUAAUUUUUUCCCCUUCUAACUUGUCACACAAUUUUUGGAUUUUCAAUUACAAAUUUUUAAAUAUAAUAUUAUUUUAUUCUCAAAACUUAGUAAAUUAACUUUCAUAAAACAUAAAGUGAUAUUUAUUUUGAAUUCGAAGGAAUACUUUCCGUCUCAAAUUUACAAUACAAGCUACUCCAAAUUGACUAAUAUUAAAAAGACUCAUGAUGUUCCUAAUUGUUUUGAAUUGUUGAAAAAUGCAACCAAACAAAUCACUUUUAUAGCCUUGUAUUUGUUGGGUUUUCAACUAAAAUCGAAACAUGUGACAUGAUUAUUAUUUUUAAAAUCGACUUGUGAUUUGAUUGGACAUAAUUUAGUGUUUCAAAAAUAUGGAUAAUAUAAUCUAUGUAUAAUUUUGCUUGGUACAACAUAUAAAAAGUUAAACCAAAAUUAUACUAGAUUAUAACUGUAUUUAUGCUUGUGGAGAAAUCUCAUAUAUAAUUUUUCUUCCCAAUAGGUGGAGAUUAUGAUUUGCAUAAACUGAUUAGGCUAAUCCUUUCCCUAGUAUAGAUAUUAAAUUUUCUAUUGGUAUGAUCAAAGAACUUUCUAAAAUUAUUUGGAUAUAUUUUGAUUGUUAUAACGAAAUGUAAAAUCGGCCAGUAGCAAAUAUCACCAUAUACCGAAUUCCACAAAUAUAACAUUUAGAACACAUAUAUAACUAAACUUCUACAAGAAUGUAGUGUUAAAUAAAGCGAAACUGGGAUGACAAAUACAAAGUAAAUGCACUAACUUCACUAGGAUUUCACCUAAAGUAUUUGCAUGUCAUUAACAUGUAAAUGUAUGUAAAUUAAGUUUUCUGAGACACCUACUACUUUUAUUUAACAAAACAAGACAUGAUGACCAUCCAUCCAUAACUGAAUGGGGAUUUAUGAUAUAUAUAUAUAUAUAUAUAUAUAUAUAUACAUACUCACACACACACACUUAGUGCAUAAUUAACCUUAAAUUAAUUAGUUGCGAGGUAAUCCUCCAUACCAACCACGUCUAGGAUAUCCUCCCCAAUAACCAUAACCAGGAUAAUAUCCAUCAUAACCUUCUCCUGGAAAUUUGGCACCAUUUACUCCAUUUGCAUGUCCUGCACCACCAAAUCCUCCUCCUAAUCCUUGACUUGAAAGACCACCGAUUCCCGAAAUUUUUGGUAUUGAAAGCUCUCCAAUUUUUGGAAUUCCAGCUCCUGGAAGUACCUUACUUCCUGGAAGUCCUCCGAUUCCUAAAAUUUUGGCAUCAUUUACCUCAUUUGCAUGUCCUACACCAGUAAACACACAUAUUUAUGUUAACAAGGUUGGCAAGUAGUUGAAUCAAUAAAUAGAUUAAUAUCCCGAAAUUUAUUUGGAUUGAGAUGGAUUGAGGUAAUAUGGGUUAAACACAUAGUCCUAUUCUAACUCUUAUGAAUUUUUAAUUUUUUUUGUAUGUUUUCUUAUAAUUUUUAAUCAUCAAACAAAACUAUUGAAAAGAUGCUUGUUCAUUAUAGCUUACCACUCCUGAUGUUCUAAUUAAUCUGAUGGGGUUUAGAGGACGAGGAUCAAAGUACUUAAUUUAGGAUAUGAAUCUAAGUAUAUUGACUCUUCAAUUUUGUUAAAAAUAUUUAAAAAAUGAUUUGACUCUUCAAACAGUAACAUCUUUGCAGAAAAUGAAAUGGAGAUAACUACCCUUGUCCAGAGAAGUGGUAGAGCUCUGAGACAACGCCCUAGCUGCAACCUUUGAGGUAAUUGCAAGAAAAAUAGCCAAAACAAUAAGCAUAAAUGCCUUUAAUCCCAUUUUUUUCCUUUUUCAAACUAUAUUUAAAUAACUACUAAUUGAGUUGUGAUAGGAAACUAAUGAACAUUUUGCCUCUAUUUAUAGCAUAAUCAUAGAGUUCUUGUGGGGGACAAGAUUAAAGAUUGCAUUAAUUUGGUAAUUUAUUAAGUUGGCAAGAUUGUUUAGACUCGAUUUUUCUAUAAAGCACCUAUCUAUAAAAAGAUUUAUAUAGAUUUUUCUAUAAAGCACCUAUCUAUAAAAAGAUUUCUCUCUCUCUCUAUAGCUAUGCCAAAGUAUAGAGAGACAGGAGGAAAAAAUCAUUCUUGAAAAUAUAACCAGCUGCCUAAUUCUUCAAGUUUUGGUGAGUUAUUGAUCCGUUAAUUUUAGACCAGUCAUUUAAGUCUAAUUCAUUUUAGUUCAUAAAAAUUGGAUUGAUUAGUUCAUAGAAAGUUGAAUUGAUAUGUACUUCAAAGUCCAAAUUGGUUGAAACAUGAUUUGUUAUAUAUAGACAUAAUAGAGAAAAAUAUAAUUUUAUUAGAAAUUAGAUAAAUUAUAAAAAUAUAAAUAAAAUAAAUAAAACUUAGUUAAAAUUCAAUAAAUUAGGCUAUGACACACGAUUUUAGCCUAUUUUAGCCUGACGUAUUUCGGCUCAAAUAUUUUGAGUGGGUCAUAUCAACCAGCAUACUUAAAUUUAAUCUGUCUCACUUAUUUGACACCUCUAUAACUAUAUGUGUAUAUGGCUAAGAAUUGAGCAGAUCAUGCUGUUUGCAUUUGCCAUCUUGAUAACUUUCUGGAAGAUAUACUCUAACCUUUAGUCCAAUAACGUUUUGAUUUAAGCUAUAUUAGAAAAAUGUUUGUAUAAAAUCGACGUGAUGCACGAAUACUAUUAAUGAAUAUUCCUCAUUUAAAAUACUACUAUAUGACUCUGUUUAAAGACGUUAGAUCAUAUUGUUAGGUUGACAGUUCUAUAUUUUACUAUUUUUUAAUACGCACGGAUUUUGAGUUUAUGUUUCAUAAGGUCAACAUAGUUUUCCCAAAUAAAAUUAACCUGUGUUAAGGAUAGUGUACUAAAAUUAAACGGCUACCGAAACACUAGAAUUGUGAAGAAUAAAAAAAAGAUAAAGAGAGAGUCAAAAGUUACGUAUCGACUUACAAAAUUAUUUUUCCUUUUGUUCACUAACAAUGAUAUACGUGAUGCAUUGAUAUUUUUUUCUUUUUGACCCUACCAAUAACGAAAUUGAGUGACAGUGGUUGACAUUCAAUAAUGUGUAACACUCCGAGCUUUCCAACGCUUGAAUAGUGCAUGAAAUAAGCCCUUAAGACCUCUAUAUCGGAGAUAAAACACUUAAGAUUGGCUUUGAAUGGGUUGGGGACAUUUUAAGCUUAAAAAUGACCCGUGCGACACGAUAGGGUCACCACGUGGUAGCUCCGCACCGCGAAGCUCACCGCGAUGGGCUAGUGCCUUGCGAUUGCGGUGGGGGUCGUGCCACGAAGCAGUAGGUUUUCUUCGGGGGUCUCACCCAAAGCAGCAGAUUCGCUAUUCGCUAUGGAGGUCACGCUGCACACCUCUCUUUUUGCGUCCAUAAUCCUGUUUUGGUUAUAUUUUAAGGGUACUAGAGUCUUUUCAUACCCUAAGGUCAUUUUCAAUCAUUUACGUGUAUAGGGUCUUAGAAACGACUUUAUAUCUCAGUAAUCUCGUAAUCAUUAUUCAACUAGCAAAAGAGGAGAAAAAUACCUAGGAUAUGAGAAUUCUAAGCUCCAUGGGUAAAUUUACAUUACGUUCUCUCUAUUACAAGGUAUGUAGAACUAUUCUAACACUCAUGGGCAUAAGUGUAAUGUUUAAAUAAGCUUUAAAUUUUAUAUGUAUAUAUGCUAUGGGUUUUGAAAUUGUUAGAGGAUCAUACAUUAAAAAAACCCUUUUUCACGAUGAACUUUUGUAUUUUCUAUGGAGUAUCAUUUUCUACAAACUUGAGAUGGUUGCCUACGUAUCUCACUCCCGAGAGAGGAGAAUCAGGAUUGUGUAGUUCAUCCAGAUUGGACAAUUAAGGAUUAAAUGACAAACUAAACCCUGAAUUGAGAGACACAACUAAAGACAGACGAAUAAAAUCUUUUUGGGAUUUUAAUUAGAAACUAACACCAACAACUAUGAAAGAGAAAAUCUUUUUGAUAUUUUCGUUAUAUAAAAAUGUACAAAGCUCCUAUUGAAAGGAAAAAAUAUUUUUGGAGUUUUUGAAUUGUGAAUACUUAAUAAAGAAAUAAAAGGAAAAUCUAUUUAACGGCUUUUGAUUUUUUGGAAAAUGAGUGCAAAAAGUAAAAAAAAUAGUUUUUUUUUUAAUUGUGUAAAAACAAAAGCCAUAAAGAACCCUACCAAAUCUCUCUUUUUUUCACUCUCUUUUUUUAUCUUCCUUUUUUUUCAACAAUUUCUUGCCUACACACUUUGCUUCUAACUCAUGUUUUUGCCCAAAUCAGUUUGUCAAAUGACCGCGUUACCCUCAAAGAUGCAAUAUUUAACACGUAGGGAUGCUUUAGAGGUGAGUCUCCUACAAAGGGCUACAUGGGUCACACUAGAUCUCAAUAUGAUGCAAAUAAGCAUGACCUAAAGGCUGACCUACGCUGGGGUUCACUAACAAGGCUGUUCAGGGGAGCGUAUGGUCGAUAGUGGUUGCACUAUCUUUUCACCCACUCCAUAAUAGCCAAUGGCUCCCCCUCCUAAAAACAAGGGUGACUCAACUAUAGGUCGUGUACACAGCGUGUAGUACAGAACUAGUUGCAGAAAGAAUUGACUCAGGUUAUGCAAGUGAUGUCAGAUAUAAAGCGGUAACACAUAAGAGAAAAACUGUAAACACGUAGCACGUAGGCACUCAACAAUGAUAAAAAAAUACAAACAAUAACACAAACAAUGUAUAUACACUCAUAAUGUCAAAAUUAAGCCAAUAUAACUCCAAAAAUAAGCUCGAAUUCUGAAAAGGAUCCCCAGCAGAGUUGCCAAAGCUGUCACACCCCUUUUUCAACCCAAAAAGAUUAAAUUUUAAGGUUCGAAAGGGUUUUCAUUAUUAAAGUGAUAAAGGAUUAAAAAAAAUUUGAAAAAGGAUUAUUUACAUUUAAUACUCAGAAUCGCCACUUGGGAUAACCCGGUGUGCCAAGUCACCUUUGAAAGAUCCUUUUCGAAAUGAUUUGACUCUUUAAAACUGAUUUGUGAACAGAGAUUCUGACUAAGAAAUUCUGUUGACCGAGGGGAAGGUGUUAGGAACCCCUCGAUCCCGUGGUUUGACCACGGUAGCUUGAUGGAGUGUAUCGACUAUUUUGGCACUACGAAUGAAUAAACCACACAAAAGCACAUAAAAUAACCAACCAAAACAAACAAACCCAAAUCCAAAGUAUAGUGUCCAGUCCAAUUAUACAGUCCAAAAUAAAAAUGCAAAAACACAAAUCCUAUUCUAACCUAGACUAAUCCUAUACUAUGCUCCGCUGCUUCACCCGACGCCUCGGGCCUUCACCACGAACAACUUCCAAGUACAAGAUAUUUCGGAGCAUUCCCCGGAUAAAUCAAUACAAAUCCCUCGAGGCAUUCCCCGGCCAAAUGAAUACAUUUUUUAGUGCGAGAAAAUCACACUACUCAACAAAAUUUCAAACAUUCCACAGAAUUUCCAACAUUCAACCAAAGCCACUAAUUCUAAACAUUUGCCUACCCAACCUAUGUUUGCCUAAACCAAUCGACGUAUCAUGAUACAACCAGGUUCAAUUAACGUUCAUUUCAAGUUAAACAACCAAUGAAAUCAAACUAACCAAAAAUCACCAAUUAUAUCAAGUUUUCAAUUCUCACCCCAAAUCCAUUUUUAACUACAUGAUUAAACCAAUUCAACUAUCAAAUCACUUUUUAAGAUCUGAAACCAACCUCGAACACAUACCCCAACGAAGAUUCAAACAUUUACGCAUAUCAAUCAUUCAUAUCCACAACAAAAAUUAACAUUUGCUCAAAAUAUUAAAAACCACACCACAAAAUCACGCUAUUAACCAACUUCGAUACAAUAAAAAAAAGUAGAGUUAAGAGAUGGAUCUUUGAAUAACCGAGUUAGUUGAUAAUAAGGUUUAAGAUAGCGCGGACGAUAGAAUUCUGAAUGGAACCUUGACAGUGACGAAUCUAACUCGAAUAGCAAAACAUCAAUCCAAAACUAAUCACAACGAUCCGAUUGAGAUCCAAACAGGAACCAAUGUCCAGAGCCAGUACAAAAAACCAAUGAAUCCCAAAAAUAGUGUAUCCUCCGGACAAAUUAGUCCAGCCGCGAUAUCUAUAAAAGGAAACUGUCUGAGCUCCGGUGAGUUUCAAUGCUUGAAUCUGGCCUAUAAAUAACCGAAUCCGGCUGAGAACUCUCGGUAAGGAGCUUGAUUCGGCCAAAUUUUGCCAGAAUCGCGCACCAGAAGUGGAAAAACCAUUUUUCCAAUGAGAUUUAAGGGUGUGGCUGUGUUCCCCUUUUCGAUCUACUCCAUUUUUUUUUAGUGUCAUGUGGUUGUGUAUACGAUGUGUGUGUGAUUUUUUUUCUGUGUAGAAGAAAGGAAGGUUUUUGUUUUUUAUGGGUUUUUUUCUGUGGAGAAGAUCAGAUGAUGAUGAUAAUGGGUCCUUUUUUCUUUCCUCUCUAGUUCCGCUUUCACUGUAUCAGCGAGUGUGUAUAUAUUGACGAGGGAAGGUUUCCACUGGGGUCCCUUCUACGUGUGUUUUUUGUGUCUAUAUAAUUCUAAAAAAUGCCAAAAGGUCCUGAAUUCUGUUAUGGUCCAAAAAACGUGUCAAGUGGUAGGGGUUGGGUAGUGGUGAGGGUAGAGAUAUGGUGUGAGGUAGGAUAAAAUUUGUUAUGGGUUUGUUAAGGAUUGUUAUUUUUGUAUUUUUGUGGGGUGUAAUUAGGGGUGUUCAUGGUUUGGUUAAAAACCAAACCGAACCGCGUACCAAACCAAAACGAUUAAAAAUAUGGAGACAUAUGACUAAAAGUGUUACGGUUAAAGUUAAAUUCAUGGUUAAAAUUUAAAAUAAAACAAAUAUUUAUUUUUUAUUCAUGAAUAAUAUAUAAAUAAUUUAUAUAUAUAAAUUAUUUAUAUAUUAUUCAUGAAUAAAAAAUAAAUAUUUGUUUUAUUUUAAAUUUUAACCAUGAAUUUAACUUUAACCGUAACACUUUUAGUCAUAUGUCUCCAUAUUUUUAAUGAAAAAUUUUGUGUUCACCUUUUAGGGGGUUUAUUAUAUCGUUCUCUUAUAUGUAGUAUCUAAAUAAUUUUUGUAGAAGCGUUCAUAUGGUGUUGUUCGUGGCUUUGCCUAAGUACAACACUAAAUUGACAUCUUAGUUUCAUGAUUAGGGCACAACACUAUGUUUGAUUGGAUUUGUUUUUUUUAAAUUUCAACUUUAUCAUUAGUUAAAGUUAUAAAUUGAAAAAAUCGAAAAAACCAAACCAAACCAAACUAAACCGACAAGAACCAAACCGACGGUUAUUUUUUUUGUUGGUUUGGUUUGGUUUUUUAAAUUUAAAAAUCGACUAAGUUGGUUUGGUUAUGAUUUUGACCAAUAACCGACCUAACCCGACCUAUGAACACCGCUAGUUGUAAUCACAUGGGUGAGGGUGUAUGAUAACGUGAGGUAAAAAUGGAUGAAUUGGGUUUUGGGAGGGACAAAAUUAGGUGUCUACAUCAUGUCCCUUUUUGAGUGUAAACACAAAGUGUUUUCAGACAAAAAAGUAGACAACGAGGCCAAAUUUUGACCCGACCAUUAUUCAAGGAAAGAAACAGAAAGAAGAAAGGCAACCAAGUUUUGACUUAGGACGUCUUAUCUACCCAAGUUAUAAGGGAAUCAAGUCACACGUAUCUCGAAGGGUUGGAAGGAGAGAGAUUAUAUCAAGUUGGAGAGUCGAGUGAGAUUCCAUCGAGGUUCCGGUCCGUGGCUCUGUCAUUACUUCAAAAAUAAAAAUUACAAGUUAUAACAUAAAGAUAAAUGAUAUUACAAAAACCCUAUCUAUGCAGCUUCUUUUGGACUCUUGACUUAAGUUUCAUCACCCUAUUCUUCGGGCAGGCUCCUGACUUUCAAUUUCUUCAACUUGUUGCCUGACUUUCAAUUUCUUCACCCUGUUCUCCAGGUGGGCCCCUGACUUGCUAUUUUUCAAUUUUUUGAAUUUUAAUUUCUUCACCUUGUUGUUUGACUUUCCAUUUAUUCACCCUGUGUUUCGGACGGGCUCUAAUGUUGCUUGAAUUAUCAAAACAAGGAAGUGCAUCUCCUUACAAAUAUCGAUUGAAUUACCCAAACAAGAAAGUGAGUCUCCUUACAAAUGUCACUUGAAUUACCAAAAUAAAAAAGUGUGUCUCCUUACCAAUGUCUCUUGAAUUACCCAAAUAAGGAAGUGUGUCUCCUUACAAAUGCCGGUUGAAUUACCCAAACAAGGAAGUGUGUCUCCUUACAAACGCCGCUUGAAUUACCAAAAUAAGAAAGUGUGUCUCCUUACCAAUGCCACUUGAAUUACCAAAACAAAGAAGUGCGUCUCAUAACAAAUGUCUCUUGAAUUACCUAGACAAGGAAGUGUGUCUCCUUACAAAUGUUGCUUGAAUUACCCAAACAAGGAAGUGCGUCUCCUAAUAAAUGUUGAUUGAAUUUUCAGAUAGGGAAGUGCGUCUCCUUACAAAUGUCACUUGAAUUAACCAAACAAGAAAGUGGGUCUCCUUACAAAUGUUGCUUGAAUUAUCCAGACAAGAAAGUGCGUCUCCUCACAAAUGUCACUUGAAUUGCCCAAACAAGGAAGUGCGUCUCCUUACAAAUGCUGCUUGAAUUACCCAAAUAAGGAAGUACAUCUCCUAACAAAUGUUGCUUGAAUUGUCCAAAUAAGGAAGUGCGUCUCCUCACAAAUGUUGCUUGAAUUAUCCAAACAAGGAAGUGUGUUUCCUCACAAAUUCUACUUGAAUUACCCGAAUAAGGAAAUGCGUCUCCUUGAGAUAUUGGAUUAUGAGUUUUACCAUUGUUUUGAUUACCAAAUCUGUGCAGAAACAUUGCCUCUUGCAUUUGCAGAAGUGAGGCAUUACAACCUUUGAUAUUUAGACCCUAAACUCCUUGAUUUGAAGAUAACAUGUAUUCUGAAAACAUGUGAGUUUAAAAACAUGAUGGUUAGUUUGUGGCUUUGGCUUUUGUGGCAAUUUCUUGCCCCUGUCACAUUUAAUAUUGAUUUCAACCAUUAGCGUAUGUCAUUGACUCACUGUAUCAUUGAUUCGAACUCAGAUUAUUAAGAGUGACUCUGAAACAAACACAGUAUUUCUGCUUUGCCAUGCUUCUCAGAUAAAACCUUUAAACCCUGAUAUUUUCAUAAGUUCCUAGACUUUUUUGUAGAAAAAACUUUUUACAUGCCUUAUUUUGGCUCACAAUCGUGUCUCUUUCAUGUGUUGGCCUUUUGUCUUGCUUUGUGCAAUUGAUGAAGCUGGGAGCCAGUUUUGAAAUCUUUUCUCACUUGUUUUGAUAUGGACUUGACUCAAAGACAAGAGAAAAAUGACAAUGACUUUUAUUUGGACAACUGACUCAAGAAAACAAAAUAAAAAUAAAGGGAAGAAAGAAAAGACAAUGAAUUUCCCCAUUUGAAACAAAGAAAUGAAAAAUUUAUCUAGAAAUGAUAGUCAACUCUAAUGGUUAUGUCGUGCAUUUUUGAUUAAGCUGCCUGAUCUUUUCAUUCAAACUUUCACCAAUUGUUGUUGAGUUAAUGGCCUUGAAAUUAAGUUGCUUCCUUAGGUCAAUUGCAUUUAAGACCUCCUUCGGUUAGUGAUACCUUGAAGGUUUUUGCCAAUAAGCCUCUCUCAUUUUGUUUUCCUCAGCUCACCAUUGUCUUAUGGUGUUCGUGAGGAUUUUUCACCAAUGAGACUCUCUUAUUUCAUUUGUCUCAACUCAUAGUUGUCUUACAGUGCCCAUGAGGGUUUUCAGACUCUCUCAUUUUUAUCUCUCUAAACUUACCAUUGUCUUAUGGUGCCCGUGAAGAUUUUCACUAAUAAGACUCUCUUAUUUUUAUUUCUUUCUUGAUUUCUUAUGCUGAGGAAGAUAAGCAGUUCCCAAAUGCAUCAUCAUAUCCCUUGCAUUCUUAGCCUUAAAAUCCUCAAAGAUUGAUCUGAAGGUCUUUCUUUGGUUGCAACUUGGCUUUUGGAAAGGGUUAGAAAAAAAGGAUGGCAUGAGGCCCAAACAACACUUGAAGUAGGGUGGGACUUACAACUUUUGGAAUCGACUCCAAAAAUGGGGAUUACCUCAUGCCCCAGUUUCUUUUGACUGGGUGACUCUAAAUUAUUUAUUUGGUUGGACCAAGCCCCUGGUAGGACAUCCUACGUAUCUCACCCCCGAAAGAGGACGCGUAGUUCUGGCAGCUUGUCUUGCUUGAUUCUAAUUUCUUUUUCUUCUAUGCUUCUUUUAUUGACUCUUUCUCUUUGGGAAUUUUCUGACUUUAUUUAUCUUGGCACUCUUUUUUUUUUCUUUUUGGACACAUUUUUUCUCUCUUCUUAUUUUUUAAAAACUUUUCUGACUCUAGUCUUUUUCUCGACACUUUUUUUUUACUUUGCUGACUCUAUCUUGAUUCCAAAAAAGGAGUAUGAAAGAAAAUAGAACUAAAGCUUAAAUGGGGUAAACAAAGGAUGACACAAUAUUUGGAUAGUAGAAUGAAAUGUCUUUGUCAUUUCAAUCCUUGAAGAUGCUAGCACACAUCAUGCAAUGUGAAAGUGCAUGAUCAAAUCACUUAUGACGUAUUUUACAAUACGAACUUUCCCCGAGCAUGUGUGCCCCCUCUUUUUCUACACUUGUGAAAAUACAACUCCACCUUUGUUGUACAUCCCUCACAUUGAAUGACUCAUGCUUUCGUGGAGUUGAUUUUUCUGUUCCUUUUGAUGUAGGAUCACACAUCCAAUAUUUGACCAAAUUGAGACAUCUCUUUCAAUGGAUGACCAAGUUAUUCUUGUAAUUCUCAAAAAUAAUUGCCUUAAUUUUCAGAAAAGGCUUCAACUUGUCACCAAAUGUCUCAGCACUCUACCUAUUUUCUCCAAUAUUUUUCUAACUUUAGCCCUCUGAUUCAAAGUUUAUUCUUAAACUGGAUUUUAAGAUCUGGCUGAAAAUUUCGCAGGCAUGUCAUAACACUAGAAUCAACAUAAAAUGUGAUGUGUAAAGAAAACAAACACAUAUUUAAAAAACAAAGGAAAAGGGACACUUCAUUUAGUUGAAAUAAAAGAUAGAAAGGUUUGAACAUAAACGACACAGGAAAAAAACAAGAUAGAUCCCGAACUACAACCUUGAAAUAAUUUGGAAAAUAGAAAAAAAAAAAACAAACUACCAAACCUCUUCCUAGUAGAGAGAGGGGUGACUUCUUAAUUACUCAGUUUGACAACUUAGCCACUGGUUUGCAUAUCAACAUGACUAGAUCUUCCACUGCGAUCAACGUUCUGCACCAUAAUUGAUUUAUCUUGAAUCAUCUUUUCAAUUUCUCUUUUCAAAGUACGAUAAUCUUUGAUAUUGUGACAUUGAACAUCAGAAUGAUAUGCAUAUCGUACAGUUGGAUCAAAACUUCUUGAAUUCGGGUAAGGAGUAUACCUAAGGCGACGAGUGAUCAUGCCCCAAUGUACCAAUCUUUGGAAUAAACUGGCAUAUGAUUCUCCAAUUGGCAUGAAACUAUCCUUAAGCUUCUGCCUCUUCUCAUUGUUUGACUUGGAUCAAACAUAGGGAAUGGGAGGGAUUUGAUAUAUUUGUGGAUUUGAAGGGUAACUCUUAGGCUUUGGUGAGCACCAUUGUGAGUAAGAAGGGAGUUAAACGUAUGGUUGUGCGCAGUAUACUAGAUAUGGAGGUGGGGAAAUAGAGUAUAAUGGACUUUAGGAGUCAUUAUAGAGAUCUUGUGUUGGGAAGAUAGCCAAUAUGGAUGUCUCAGCAGAGGAUUGAACAAUAAAAUCACAGACGAUAUGUGGUGUUGUGAAUGUAUUUGGCUUAUGCUGAGGUGCUAGAGAAAGAGUGGUGGAAGUAUUAAGAUUCUUUUUGAUUGGAAUGAAUUCUAAGGCAUGUUGUGGUGCAUCAACAACAUUAGGACAUAGAGCUUGCAAUUGUGAUGAAAAACUCAGGGUAUUUUCGGGGUCAAUAGUAAGGAAUGGAGGAGGGGUUAACCCAUUGACCCAAGCUCGGUACAUUUCCAUCAUUUGUUACCUUAGUCUCAAAUUCUCUUCCUUUAAACUCUCAAUUUCUUGUCUCUGUGUUUGAUCCAUAAUGUCACUCUCUAUAUCCUUGUUGGACACAAUUAACCAUUCAUUAGAUUUGGUGUGAUAUGAAGGACCAGCUAGGAUGCCACAAACCAACCACCUUAAACUAACUGAGCAAGAGGUAACAAAUGCGUUAGAAUUCAACAUUUUUUUUUCAAAACCUCUCUUAUUUUUUUUAAAAAAGAUCACCGAACCCAAGAAGGGCGCCUACGUAUCUCACUCUCGAGAGAAGAGAAUCAGGUGUGCGUAGUUCGUGAAGUUUGGCCACAGUGGACAAUUAAACUCUUUUUUCUGUCUUUUUUUUUUCUUGAAACUUUAAGAAAAGAAAAAAAAAACAAAUUGUCAAAAGAAUUGACAAAAAUUGUUUUGCAUUUUUCAAGUUUAAACUCUUUAUACAAAAUGAAACCUACGAUUACCAAAUAAAAAUCUUUUUGGAUUUUCGAUUUAGAAUUUCAUACGAAAAUAAAACUUGAAACUAUUAAUGAAAUUUUUUUUGGUGGUUUUCUUUUAAAGAUGUAUAGGAAACACCUACUCUAAAUGAAGAGUGAAGAAAAAUAUUUUUGGAUUUUGAAAUAAGAUCCCCAAACCAACAAUAGGUUGCCUAUGUAUCUCACUCCCGAUAGAGGAGAAUUGGGGUUGUGUAGUUCAUCCAGAUUAGACAAUUAAGGAUUAAAUGAUAAACUAAACCCUGAAUUGAGAGACACGAUUAAAGACAGAUGAAUAAAAUAUUUUUGAGUUUUUAAUUAAAAACUAACACCAACAACUAUGAAAGAAUUUUUAGUUUCUUUGAUAUUUUCGUUAUAUAAAACUGUACAAAGUUCCUAUUGAAAGGAAUAAAUAUUUUUGGAGUUUUUGAAUUGUCAAUACUUACUAAAGAAAUAAAAGGAAAAUUUGUUUAAUGUUUUUAAUUUUUUGGGAAAUGAGUGCAAAAAGUAAAAAAAAAAUAGUUUUUUUUUUGAAUUGUGAAAAACAAAAUCCAUAAAGAACCCUACCAAAUCUCUCUUUUUUUUCACUCUCUUUUUUUAUCUUCCUUUUUUUUCAACAAUUUCUUGCCUACACACUUUACUUCUAACUCAUGCCUUUGCUCAAAUCAGUCUGUCAAAUGACCUCGUUACCCUCAAAGAUGUAACAUUUAACACGUAGGGAUACUUUAGAGGCAAGUCUCCUACAUAGGGUCACGUGGGUCCCGCUAGAUCUUAAUAUGAUGCAAAUAAGAAUGACCUAAAGGCUGACCUACGCUGGGGUUCACUAACAAGGCUGUUUGGGGGAGCGUAUGGUCGAUAGUGGCUGCGCUAGCUUUUCACCCACUCCAUAUCAGCCGAUGACUCCCCCUCCUAAAAAUAAGGGUGACUCAACUGUAGGUCAUGUACACAGCGUGUACUGCAAAACUUAUUGCAGAAAGAAUUGACUCGGGUGAUGCAAAUGAUGUCAGAGAUAAAAAUGUAACAAAUAAGAAAAAAACUGUAAACAGGUAGCACGUAGGCACUCAACAAUAAUAAAAAAAUAAAAAUAAUAACACAAACAAUGUCUAUACACUCAUAAUGUCAAAACAAAGCCGAUAUAACUCCAAAAAUAAGCUUGAAUUCUGAAAAGGAUCCCCAGUAGAGUCGUCAGAGCUGUCACACCCCUUUUUCAACCCAAAAAGAUUAAAUUUUAAGGUUUGAAAGGGUUUUCAUUAUUAAAGUGACAAAGGAUUAAAAAAUUUUCGAAAAAAGAUUAUUUACAUUCAAAACUCAGAGUCGUCACUUUGCAUAAUCCGGUGUGCCAAGUCACCUUUGGAAGAUCCUUUUUGAAACGAUUUGACUCUUUAAAACUAGUUUGCGAACAGAGAUUCCGACUAAGGAAUUCUGUUGACCGAGGGGAAGGUGUUAGGCACCCCUCGAUCCCAUGGUUCGACCACGGUAGCUUGAUGGAGUGUAUCGACUAUUUUGGCACUACCAAUGCAUAAACCACACAAAAAAACAUAAAAAAAACCAACCAAAACAAACAAACCCAAAUCCAAAGUAUAGUGUCCAGUCCAAUUAUACAGUCCAAAAUAAAAAUACGAAAAUUUAAAUCCUAUUCUAACCUAGACUAAUCCUAUACUACGCUCUGUUGCUUCACCCGACACCUCGGGCCUUCACCACGAACAUCUUUCAAGUACAAGAUACUUCGGGGCAUUCCCCUGAUAAAUCAAUACAAAUUCCUCGAGGCAUUCCCCGGUCAAAUGAAUACAUUCUUUAGUGUGAGAAAAACACACUAUUCAACAAAAUUUCAAACAUUCCACGGAAUUUCCAACAUUCAACCAAAGUCACCGAUUCUAAAUAUUUGCCUACCCAACCUAUGUUUGCCUAAAUCAAUCGACAUAUCAUGAUACUAUCAAGUUCAAUUAAAAUUCAUUUCAAGUUAAACAACCAAUGAAAUCAAACUAACCAAAAAUCACCAAUUAUAUCAAGUUUUCAAUUCUCACCCCCAAAGCCAUUUUUAACCACAUGAUUAAAUCAAUUCGACUAUCAAAUCACUUUUCAACAUCUGAAACCAACCUCGAACACAUACCCCAACAAAGAUUCAAAUAUUUACGCAUAUCAAUCAUUCAUAUCCACAACAACAAUUAACAUUUGCUCAAAAUAUUUAAAAUCAUACCACAAAAUCAUGAUAUUAAGUAACUUCGAUACAAUAAAAAAAAAGUAGAGUUAAGAGAUGGACCUUUGAAAAACCGAGUUCGUUGAUAAUAAGGUUUAAGAAAGCCCGGACAAUAGAAUUCUGAAUAAAACCUCGAUAGUGAUGAAUCCAACUCGAAUAGCAAAACAUCAAUCCAAAACUAAUCACAAUGAUCUGGCUGAGACCCAAACAACAACCAAUGUCCAGAACCAGUACGAUAAACCAAUGAAUCCUAUAAAUAGUGUAUCCUCAGGACAAAUCAGUCCGCCCACGAUUUCUAUGAAAUGAAACCGUCUGAGCUCCGGUGAGCUGCAAUGCUUGAAUUUGGCCUAUAAAUAACCGAAUCCGGUCGAGAACUCACCGGAAGGAGCUUGAUUCGGCCAAAUGUCGCCGAAAUCGUGCACCAGACGUGGAAAAACCGUGUUUCCAGUGAGAUUUGAGGGUGUGAUUGCGUUCCCCUUUUCAAUCUCAAAACUUAGUAAAUUGACUUUCAUAAAACAUAAAGUGAUAUUUAUUUUGAAUUUGAAGGAAUACUUUCCGUCUCUUACAAUACAAGCUCCUCCAAAUGGAACAAAGACUAAUUUUAAGAAGACUCAUGAUGUUCCUCAUUGUGUUGAAUUGUUGAAAAAUGCAACCAAACAAAUCACUUUUAUUGCCUUGUAUUUGUUGGAUUUUCAACUAAAAUCGAAACAUGUGACAUGAUUAUUAUUUUUAAAAUCGACUUGUGAUUUGAUUGGACAUAAUUUAGUGCUUCAAAAAUAUGGACAAUAUAACCUAUGUAUAAUUUUGUUUGGUACAACCUAUAAAAAGUAAAAUCAAAAUUAUAUUAGAUUAUAACUGUAUUUAAGCUUGUGCAGAAAUCUCAUAUAUAAUUUUUCUUUCCAAUAGGUGGAGAUUAUGAUUUGCAUAAACUGAUUAGGCUAAUCCUUUCCCUAGUAUAGAUAUUAAAUUUUCUAUUGGUAUAUAUGAUCAAAGAACUUUCUAAAAAUAUUUGGAUAUAUUUUGAUUGUUAUAAUGAAAUGUAAAAUCGGUCAUUAGCAAAUAUCACCAUAUACCGAAUUCCACAAAUAUAACAUUUAGAACUGAUAUUCUACAAUAAUGUAGUGUUAAAUAAAGCGAAACUGAGAUGACAGAUACAAAGUAAAUGCACUAACUUUACUAGGAUUUCACUUAAAUUAUUUGCAUGUCAAUAACAUGUAAAUGUAUAUAAAUUAAGUUCUCUAGAGACUCUUAGUACUUUUAUUUAACAAAACAAGACAUUAUGACCAUCCAUCCAUAGUAACUAAAUUUGGAUUUAUGAUAUAUAUAUAUAUAUAUAUANNNNNNNNNNNNNNNNNNNNNNNNNNNNNNNNNNNNNNNNNNNNACUUAGUGCAUAAUUAACCUUAAAUUAAUUAGUUGCGAGGUAAUCCUCCAUACCAACCACGUCUAGGAUAUCCUCCCCAAUAACCAUAACCAGGAUAAUAUCCAUCAUAUCCUUCUCCUGGAAAUUUGGCAUCAUUUACUCCAUUUACAUGUCCUGCACCACCAAAUCCUCCUCCUAAUCCUUGACUUGAAAGACCACUGAUUCCCGGAAUUUUUGGUAUUGGAAGCCCUCCAAUUUUCGGAAUUCCAACUCCUGGAACUGGAAGUCCUCCGAUACCUAAAAAUUUGGCAUCAUUUACCUCAUUUGCAUGUCCUACACCAGUAAUCACACAUAUUCAUGUUAACAAGGUUGGCAAAUAGUUGAAUCAAUAAAUAGAUUAAUAUCCCGAAAUUUAUUUGGAUUGAGAUGGAUUGACGUAUAAUGGGUUAAAUACUAUUUUUUUAUUUUUAUUUUUUUGUUCGUUUUAUUAUAAUUUUUAAUUAUCAAACAAAACUAUUGAAAAGAUGCUUGUGCAUUAUAGCUUACCACUCCUGAUGUUCUAAUUAAUCUGAAGUGGUUUAGAGGACAAGGAUCAAAGUACUUAAUUUAGGAUAUGAAUCUAAGUAUAUUGACUCUUCAAUUUUGUUAAAAAUAUUUAAAUAAUGAUUUGACUCUUCAAACAGUAACAUCUUUGCAUAAAAUGAAACGGAGAUAACUACCCUUGUCCAGAGAAGUGGUAGAGCUCUGAGACAACGCCCUAGCUGCAACCUUUGAGGUUAUUGCAAGAAAAAUAGCCAAAACAAUAAGCAUAAAUGCCUUUAAUCCCAUUUUUUUCCCUUUUCAAACUAUAUAUACUUUAAAU
rnacentral:lncRNA from 1 species